rnacentral:lncRNA from 1 species
UUACACUCUCUCAUACAUUCAUACUCUCACUCUCAUUUUUUCUAUUGGAGGACACGUGUCAAUGGACACCAAAGUAGGCUCUCUGGACGUCGUCGCCAUCCCUAACGGCGACAUCGGCUGUCCGCCACACGGUGGUGUAUCCUCCGUCCAGACAUCCACCGUUCCGAUCAGCUUCUCCGAGGCCACUCUCGGCCGACACCUGGCUCGCAGGCUAGUUCAGAUCGGUGUCUCUGAUGUCUUCUCUGUUCCCGGCGAUUUCAACCUCACUUUGCUUGACCACCUCAUCGCCGAGCCUGGACUCAACCUUGUUGGCUGCUGCAAUGAGCUCAACGCAGGUUAUGCUGCUGACGGAUACGCUAGGUCUCGCGGCGUUGGAGCCUGCGUCGUUACUUUCACUGUCGGCGGACUUAGUGUCAUCAACGCCAUUGCCGGAGCUUACAGUGAGAAUCUACCGGUGAUUUGUAUUGUCGGUGGUCCGAAUUCUAAUGAUUACGGUACUAACAGAAUUCUUCAUCAUACGAUCGGGUUGCCGGAUUUUAGCCAAGAGAUUCGAUGCUUUCAAACCGUUACUUGCUUUCAGGUACCAAUUCAAAGCUAACAUACUUUUCGAAUAUAUGAUUCUGUUGAGUGUUGAUCGUUCAAUUUCGCCGAUCGUGUAUACUUCACAUUCCACUCGAUCAACCACUUCGCGUUACUUUUUAAACUUAGGUUAUUUUCAAUUUGAUCGAAAACCUACAAAUGUCUUUGCUAUGAUUUGUUUUCGUUCAUCCUUUUGUGUGCAUUGGAUUGCUAUAAAUCACUCAGUAAAAUCCUUAGUUACUUAAACAGAUACAACAUCGAUUCAUUGCGAUAUAGAAAUCACAAUGACUUAUCACUCUGGUUAUUACUAUGUUCUAUGAUUCUGAGUUAAUUACUACUUUGAAUAUAGGCCGUGGUUAACAAUUUGGAAGAUGCACACGAACUGAUCGACACAGCUGUUUCAACAGCCUUAAAAGAAAGCAAGCCAGUUUACAUCAGUAUCAGCUGCAAUCUACCUGCAAUUCCUCAUCCUACUUUUACCCGGGACCCUGUUCCCUUUUCUCUCUCUCCCAAGUAAGUUCCACAUCCUUCGAAUCUCUAACUAAUCAUAAUUUCAUUCAAAUCAAUUUUAAAUUCCGAUCUCUUCUACCAAAAUCACAUAGGUUGAGCAAUCACAUGGGUUUAGAAGCAGCCAUUGAAGCAGCAGCAGAGUUUCUAAACAAAGCGGUGAAGCCAGUAAUGGUCGCCGGACCUAAACUCCGUGUAGCAAAAGCCAGCAACGCAUUUGUUGAAUUAGCAGACUCAUGUGGGUAUCCUGUAGCUGUGAUGCCAUCAGCGAAAGGGAUGAUCCCAGAACACCAUCCUCAUUUCAUCGGAACAUAUUGGGGUGCUGUAAGCACUGCUUUUUGUGCAGAAAUUGUUGAAUCUUCUGAUGCUUACUUAUUUGCUGGACCUAUAUUCAACGACUACAGCUCUGUAGGCUAUUCUCUUCUCCUCAAGAAAGACAAAGCCAUAAUCUUGCAACCUGAUCGUGUAAUAAUUGGAAAUGGCCCAACUUUCGGGUGCGUGUUGAUGAAAGAUUUCUUGUUAGGUUUAUCAAAAAGACUUAAGAAGAACACAACUGCAUACGAGAAUUAUCACAGAAUUUAUGUUCCAGAAGGUCACCCUCUUAAAUCUGCUCCUAAAGAGGCAUUGAGGGUUAACGUUCUGUUUCAACACAUACAGAAUAUGUUGUCAGGUGAUACAGCUGUCAUUGCUGAAACCGGUGAUUCGUGGUUCAAUUGUCAGAAGCUAAAGCUUCCAAAAGGAUGCGGGUAAGUUUCAAUUAUCUAUUAUCUGCUAUUUGCUAUCUAUUAUCUGGUUUUAAAGGUGAGAGGAUGAUUUGGUUUUUGUAGGUAUGAGUUCCAGAUGCAAUACGGGUCAAUUGGGUGGUCAGUCGGAGCGACACUUGGGUACGCACAAGCUGCAACCGACAAACGAGUGAUUGCGUGUAUUGGUGACGGAAGCUUCCAAGUCACGGCUCAAGAUAUUUCAACAAUGAUUCGAUGUGGCCAAAACACCAUCAUUUUCCUAAUAAACAAUGGCGGAUACACCAUUGAAGUCGAGAUCCAUGACGGGCCCUACAAUGUCAUAAAAAAUUGGAACUACACUGGUUUAGUUGACGCGAUCCAUAAUGGCGAGGGCAAGUGUUGGACUAGUAAGGUAAGUUAUUGGGCUUGGUGUUGGUUGGUUUUACAGAUGGUAUCAGAGUAGUAGUUUAAGUGAAACUUAUGUUUUUUUUGUAGGUGUUGUGUGAAGAGGAGCUUGUUGUGGCUAUUGAGAAGGCGAUGGGGGAGAAAAAGGAUUGUUUGUGUUUUAUUGAAGUGGUUGUGCACAAAGAUGAUACGAGCAAAGAGUUGCUCGAGUGGGGUUCCAGAGUUUCAGCUGCUAACAGCCGACUUCCGAACCCUCAGUGAAAAUAAAGUUAAUUUAUUUUUACUGUGUGGGGCCGGAUGAGGAUUUGCUAGGGUUUUAUGAUGUAUAAAGUGGUUUUAUGAUGUAUAAAGUGUUAGGAGUCUAUAAACGUUUGUUGCUAUUUUGAUCGAGAAAGAAUAAUGAUUUUUAGUUGUGUGUGUUUUCGCUUGGUAUGAAAAUGGAGUUUUCAAAAUUAUGGUUGUGUUUUUGAGACGUGGAAAGGCCCAACUGUUUCUCCGAUUGUGAAAUUUGUGAUUGUCUUUCGAACUUUUUGAAAAAGAAAAACAAAGCAAGUAACAUUGUAUUCUCGUGAACUUUUUUUUUUUUUUUUUUUUUUUUUUUUUUUUUUUUUUUUUUNUUUUUGAAAGAGAUGAGAAAGAUUCAUAUACAUAAAGAUAAACAUUAAUUGCUUGAUUUGAAUAUCGGUAUAUGUUCAAAAAAUAUAUUUUUAUUCAAAAGAUCUUUUAAUUAGAUCAUAUAAUAUAGCUUUUUUUUUUUAAUUAAUAUAAGAAAACCUAUCAUCCAAACUAUGUGACAUAUGUAAUUUCACUUAAUUUAACUCUUGCAUGCAUCUUAUUUGCACAAAGAGAUCCAUACAUACGAUAGACUUAGUAAACAUAAAUGUAAAGCAAAGUAAAUACAACUCUUUGAAAAUAAAUACACAAACAAUAGACUUGGUAAAAGAUAAAUGUAAUGCAAAAUAAUUCUAUAAUUCUAUGAUUUAUCUUUUUUAAAGUACAUAAAAUUGUCACGUCUUUUAAAAACGUUAUGACACACCAAGGUCGUCAUGACUUAGGCUUGAUCUUGCCACAUCAUCUUGUUUAGAAUCUUGAUAAUUAGGCAAUGUAUUCACUCAAAUGUGAACGGAUGUGCUACAUUCAUUCUGUUGGAGUAAUUGUUAGUUUAAGAAAUUCAUAUAUUCAUAUAUUAUUUACUAAUACAAAAAGAUAUAAGGGGUGGUUGGUUUAUUAAAAAAUAAACUUUAACAACCUAAUGCUCGUGUUAGUUUAUUCACCAUUUUUAUUUAACAACUUUAAGCAUGUCCAUAAAUGCUUGUGGUGCAGCAGUGUUCCGACUAUUAUAUAUUAAUAUAUUAUAAGUUCUAAUAUAUUAAUAUAAAAUCAUAUUAUUUAAUUAGUGUUGAUCUAUAAUUGAUCUAGAAUUAAUUUAGAGAUCAAAAGUAUGACUAAUUAAAUAUGGGCUUUUAUAUUUAUAUAGUGUGGGCUAAUGCUUAUUUGGAAUGGGCUAGGCUUGCAUGGAAAGUCUAUGGAUACUCCAUGGAGCUUUAACCCAUGGAUCUCAUGGAAAUAAAAAGACAUGGGUAUUAGGGUUUACAUGGAUGUAACCUUAAUCCACCACACUAUAUAAAUGAGGCUUUGGUUCUUGAAAUCAGACUAGUUGUUGUGAGUAUAUACUAAGAGGGCCGAUUUCAAGAAGGUUGUUACUAUUCUCUCAAAGUUCCAAAGUUUGUGGUGAUUUGUGAUUUCCAUUUGAGGCAUCCACACUAUUGGUGCUAGACUCUAAAACUCCAAGCAAUCAACUACAACUACAAGGUAAGUAAUUCUACUAGCUUUAUUUGAUUCAAGUUCCCCAUGUCAUGCUAGAUAGGAUAAGAACCUUGGAAAAAAUAAUUAUUGCAUGUAUCUUAGUCAAACAUAGAUCCAAGGUUUCUAGGGUUGCAUGUACACCAUAUGCGUGUUAGAAUGCUCAAAACCCAUCAAUUAUAUGGUAUGUGGUUGUUUGGGGGAGCUCACUAAGUUUCGUGCUUACAGUUUUCAGUUUUGAUUUCAGGUACUUCCAUUAGCAAAGGGAAGGGCUCGGAUUGAUCGCAUGUCACACACCACAGUCACAGCCUGGGAGUUUACUCUGAUGUUUUGUUAUGGGAUUUUGAUUUGAGACAGACAGUAUGAUGUUUUAUGAUACAUGACUUAUGAUUUCACUUAUGAAUUAUGAUGAUUUAUGACUUUAUUAAUGAAUUGAAAACAAAAUUUUUGGGUCGUAUUUUUGGGAUGUUUCAAGUUGAUAUCAGAGCCUUGGUUUGAGAGAUUCGGGCAUACUUUUGGGUGUGUCUGAACUCAAACUAAGGAAGUGGUAUAAAAUUUUCAAAAGAAAAUCAUUUUUACAAAAAGGGAUUUUGAAAUUUGAAAAGAACUUUGAAAAAGGGUGUGGUGCAUGCAAUCAGCCGAGCUCAAGUAAGUACUCCCAAAUUACCCAUACAAGUUUAUGUUAUGUCAUGAUAAUCAACUUUAUUAGAACAUCAUGCUAGAUUAGGACUAAGGAUCUAGGAAGGAUGCCUUAUGUGCAUGUUAUAUGUGUUUUACCUCUAUGAGAACUGCAUGCUAGUACAGAAUUGUCAGUAUGAUAGCCAGAGUAGUAUAUGCUUGAUUAUGUGUACUCAAUGCUCGAAUGUUGCUUGCUUUGUGCCUUUAGGAGUCCUAGUUAUCUUUUACUAACUAGUGAAUGAAUAUGUUGCGUUACAUAUUGCGAGGAUUAAAUAAUUUCAGAAGGUUAGGUCAAGCUUUAUUGUGCAGCUCUUGUUUGAGUCCAACUGUUGUAGGGUAGGAUCUCUCAUUCGAAAAAUUAACUAGUCUAAGUAAUAUGUAAUAGUAUUCGCGAGCUAGUUAGGGGAAGGUAACCGAGACUUCUUAUGCAGCUCAUGGCGGAGAGUGGGAUGGUGAUUACCCUAGGGCAAGCCUAGGAUGAGAGUAGCACGUGAAGCAGUAGUAGUAGAAGGGACUUGGUGGAGUCAAGGCAGUUCUUGAGGAAAGUACGGAUAGGUGUGGAAGGUAGUAUGGGCCCGUACUACUGAAAGCAAAGGAUCCGUACUCGAACCAAGGAAGACUGAGAUGAAUCCAGGAAACUUGUAGUGUAUGAUAUCACUCGAGUUAUUUUCAGUAUUCUGAUGUUGUAUUGUUGGAUUUUUCAGAAUGGUGGUUUUACGCCCUAGACCAGUAGUCAGAAGUUCAGGUGCCGGUAGGGGAUCAGGCUCAGGCUCUGGAGCUGAGUAGCUAGAUGAGCAGACCAGGGAGUUCAUCUCCUCAGAGAUCACGCGUAACAUACUAGACCAUACUCAUGUGAUAUUUGGCAUGAUCAAGGAGGGCAUUCUUGAGAUUUUGGAUGAGAGGUUGAGUGUGUUCCGCACUGAGGUGGCGACCAUGAUGGGUUCGCGCACACUGACUUUCAGGGAGUUCAGGGCUUGUGGAGCUCCCGACUACCAUGGGGCUCGAGACCCCAUUACGAGUACCAGAUGGUUGGUAGAUGUUUCCAAUGCGUUCCACACCAGCAAAUGUACCGAGGGGGACAAGGUCAGAUUGGCAUCCUACAUUUUGAAGGAUAGGGCCCAAGAUUGGUGGGAGGAGAUUGGACGAGCUAUUGGUGAUGGCUCAGUUUUGGAUGCGAUGACCUAGAGUGAUUUCACAAACAGGUUCAGGGUCGAGUUUGCACCUAUGAUUGAGGUGCAACAACUUGCUAGGGAGUUUCAGGACCUCCAGCAGACGACAGAGACUGUGGCGGAGAUUACCGUCAAGUUUAGGGAGAGGGCUCUCCUCGUUCCGCAAUAUAUGGUGGAUAAGGAGAUGAAGAAGGCCCGGUAUCAUGAGAUGUUGCGGAGCGAUAUCCGCCAGUUUGUGAGCCACUCCAGCUGCAAAAUGCUGGAGGACAUGAUUGUGAGGGCUCGUGAGAGGGAGAUUGAUCUAGAGAUGGAGAGGAAGAAGAAGCCAGAGGUAGCGUCUGGCGCUGCAGGUUCGGGCAAAAAGCGCAAGGUGUCUAAUCACAGGUCUAGGGGACAAUAGAGCCAUAGUCGGUGUGGCAAGUAUGGCAGGUUGCACGAUGGGGUGUGUAAGGCGAGGAGUUCCGGCUGCUUCAAGUGUGGUCGGACUUGACAUAUGAGUAUGGAUUGUCUAACCACUACCACCACCACCACCACUACCACAACAUCUGAUCUAAUUUGCUUCCAUUGCAAUCAGAGGGGACACAAGAAGUCCCAGUGUCCGAUUUUAGCACCUGCAGGACAGAUGGUAGCACCCGCCCCGACCACACUGAGGAUUACAGACGGCCGACAAGGUCGUGCUAAGGCGCCAGUGGCGAAGAGCAGAGCCUUCCAGAUGACAGUAGAGGUGGCACGAGCGAAUCCUGAUGUGGUUUUUGGUAUGUAUUUUCUCCAUCUUCUCUUUAUUACUUUUGAUUAUUACUCAUGUUUAUGUGUUGUUUAUAGGGUCGUUCCUAAUGAACGGUAUUUCAGCCAUGGUAUUGUUUGAUUCGGGGGCUAGCCGAUCGUUUGUGUCUCUUGCACUUAGCAAGCGAUUUAGCAGAGCUCUGGGGGAGCUGGAUUGCCCCCUCGAUGUUGAGAUAGAAGAUGAUAGGACCGUUAGGGCCGCGAGAGUUCAUAGAGGAUGUACACUUCGUUUAUUUGAUGAGCAGUUCUCAGUGGGCUUGGUUCCUAUUCCCCUGCGAGGGAAUAAGGUUAUCGUGGGAAUGGAUUGGUUGAGCCCCAAUGGGGUAGUGAUUGACUCCGAGUAGUAGCUUGUGAGGGUUCGUACUCCCAGUGGGGGAGAGUUAGUGAUUCAGGGCGAGAGCCCACAACGCGGACCGAUCCUUUGUUCUGCGGCGAGAGCGAGGCGCUACUUGCAGCAAGGAUGUGCAGGAUACGUCGCCUAUGUUAUGGAUAUCCAGGAUAAGGGUAAGGCGACGGUUGAUUACGUACCAGUAGAACGAGAGUAUCCGGAUGUAUUCCCGGAGGAUUUCCCUGGGAUACCUCCGGAGAGACAGGUUAAGUUCCGGAUCGACUUGGUCCCUGGUGUGGCUCCGAUAGCCAAGGCACCUUGUCGACUGGCUCCUCCCGAGAUGCAGGAGUUGUCUGCGCAACUACAAGAGCUGCUAGACAAGGGUUUUAUCAGGCCGAGCAGUUCACCAUGGGGAGCCCCGAUCCUGUUUGUAAAGAAGAAGGACGGGUUGCACCGUAUGUGCAUAGAUUACCGGGAGCUAAACAAGGUGACGGUGAAGAACCGUUACCCACUCCCUAGGAUAGAUGAGUUGUUCGACCAGCUUCAGGGAGCAUCUUGGUUCUCCAAGAUUGAUCUACAGUCCGGAUAUCACCAUAUGUAGGUCAGAGAUGAUUAUGUGCAGAAGACCGCUUUUAGGACCCGCUAUGGUUAUCAUGAGUUUGUGGUGAUGCUGUAACGCACCGAUUCUCAGGUAUUGUUAAAUAUGAAUUUCUUUGAUUUUGAGGUCUACUCGAUGAGUUGGUUGUUCUACUCGCCGAGUAGCAGCGGGUUGGGGACGCGUAUUUAGUGGCCUACUCGCCGAGUAGGAGCUUGCAGAUGAAACCCUAAAUCACGGGGGUUUGCACCCUAUUUAAGGAAGCAUAAGCCUCCUUUGGCCUCUUUGCAGUCCAUUGGGAGCUCAGAAAACCCUAAUUCAUGUGGUGCUUCAUUCUUUUGAAUUUAAAGCUUUGGGGAGGAGCUCUUUUCAGAAAAGGAACUUGAAGGACAAAAGGCUAGGGGCAAGGAGGUGUGGGAAAUCAGAAAUCUACCUCAGAUAGCAUCAUUUGGAGGUAUAAAGUCGGUACCUUUACUUCAUUUUCCUUCUAGACCUCAUUUGGUUGAGAUCUAGGGUUUUAUGGUUUGGUUGAGAUGAUAAUGUGGGAUAUGGGCUAGAUCUGAAGUUGUAACUUUAGAUCUGGACCCUUCUUCGGUUCUAGAUUCAUAAAGCCCCAAAUUUGGUCAUGUAUGAAGCCUCUUUGAGUAUGAAACCCCAUUGUGAGCUUGGAUUUGACAUUUAGAGCCUUUGUAGCUAUACAUGCACGUAAAGUUUGCAACUUUACAUGAAAAGCAUGCCUUAGAAGCUUGGAUCUGUAAUUUGGAGCCACUGCAUGGCUUAAAAGAGUCUGUAUGGCUUAAGGACUGAUGGAACUCGGCGAGUUGCAAGGUUGACUCGGUGUGUCUCAUGAAGAUGAACCUGGACCCGACGAGUUGGAUGAACAACUCGGCGAGUCCGAUGAAGAUUGCUACAGACUCGAUGGGUUGGAUGAACAACUCGGCGAGUCGGUUGAGGUUUCCCUAAUUUAUGUAUGCGUGUGUAAUCGUCGAGUUGCAAGAAGGAAACUCGAUGAGUUACCUUAGGGUUUCGAUCAUAAACCAAAGGAACUCGACGAGUGACUCCGGUGACUCAGCGAGUGGGCAAGUACUUCAAGGAACUCGGCGAGUAGCCGAGGGUACUCGGCGAGUUAGGGUCAACAUGGACUGUUGACCUUGACUAAUGACUUUGACUUUGACCAUGGGUUGACUAGUUGGCUUAUGGAGUAUCGUGUAAGGUUGAGGAAUUAUGGGUAUAUUCGUAUUAUGGUAAUAGGUGGUGGAGUCUUUGGCAAGUGAUCCGAGAGUUGGAGUUAAUCUACCAAAUCGACAUCUGCAAGGUGAGUUAUCCUCACUAUAUCAAAAGGUUCUAAGGCACCAAGGCCUGCCCUUUCAAUGUUAUGGUUAUGAUAUGAUAUAUGUGGUUAUGAUAUGAUAGAUCGGAAUCAGGAUAGACAAGAUGUUAUGCUUUCAUGAUCCUUAGGGAUUGGCAUGUUAGUGGCCUGCCAGGACGGUGCUUUAGUUAUGAGAGAUUACUAUGAUUGAUGAUCAAUGAGAUAGAUAUGUUUGAUGUCUGUAUAUGCCAGUAUAUGUUAGUUAUGCGCACAUGAUUAAUUGUCUGUUGGUUGGGUUGAGGUGGUCCUGCUUUGUGCUGAAGGCCAACAUACCCUUUGAGCGGUCCGGGGAGACUGUAGGCCCACGUGGCGGUCCAGUCAUGCCAAAGGCUCGGUAUAGAUUCAGUUAGACUGUAGGCCCUGUAGGGCAGUCCAGUCAGGCCGAUGGCCCAAUAUGCAUGUUGAUUGAUUGAUUAUUACUGAUAUGGUAUUAUCAGUGUGGUAUUGGUAUUUUGGGGGUAGCUCACUUAGCCCUCGGGCUUACAAUUUUCAGGUAUUGUUUCAGGUACUGCAGGAGAUCAUGGCAAGGCGAAGGCAUGACCGUACCGCUCCUCAUCCUUAUGAUCUGGCUUUUGGGACACUCUGAUUGAAUAAUGAUUUGAAAACAUUUUCUGUAAACAAUAUUAUUGGGUUUUAUUUAUGAUUGAAAAAAGUUUAAAUUUGGUGUAAAACUGAUGGAUGUUACAAGUUGGUAUCAGAGCCUUGGUUUGAGUGAAAUGGAGGAACACUCGUGUGAAUCCAGUCUCAAAUCAAGGGAAUAUUUGGAAAAUAAAAUUUUUUAAAAUGGUUUUCAAAAUAAAGGAUGGACGAUGCAGAAGGUACGAUCAGCCGGAGCCUAUAAGUAAAUCCCAAAUGACCAUACAAUUAUUUGAUAUUAUGAUAUGUUAGAACAACAUGCUAGUGCUAGGCUAGGGAUCUUCAGGAAUCGCAUGAUAGACUUGCCUGAUUAUACGAUGCCUACUAGCCUAGGGUUUCUUGUAUAUGGAAUUGACAUCAUUACUAUAGUUGCUAGUGUAUGCAUCACAGUUGUGUGUAAUCAAGAUCUUAUAGCUUGAGAAUGUUGGAUUCAGUCUUCGGAUAGGAUUGGAUAUUCGAAAGUUUAUUAGGUCCUGUGUUAUGUGCAACUAGCAUGCACUAGCACUGCAUGGCUUGAUGAAAGUUUCAUGGAUGUGUGAGUUGUGAGGAGCUGUGAGAUCAGUUGCGAGAUAGGCGAUGUUUCCCUAGGAGUGAGGGUUGAGUGCAUAUUAUGAUGACGAUAGUGUUAGGGUGUUGUGGUGAUACUUGAGACAAAUAUGGGUAGGUAUGGAAGGUAGUAUGGGCCCGUACUACUGAAAGCAUAGGACCCAUACAUGUAGCAAGGAAGUCACAACCCCUAGGGUUUGUGGGUUUUGGUCUCCCGAUAUUAUGUUGUUUAUCUGAUGUCUUGAGUAUUUUUUAGUAUGGUGGUGACGAGACAUUUUAAUGUUGGGUCUGGAUCCGGAUCAGAAUCAAGAUCAGGAUUAGGAUCGGGAGACAGAGGGUCGGAGGUGCCGGUAGCACCUAAGCCUGUGGUAUAGAUAGGGACAGAGGAGUUGGAUGCCAGGAUCCGGGAGAUUCUGCACGAUGAGAUAGCUGCAGCAUUCCGAGCGCAGUUUCCAGAGAUGUUUGGGUCGAUUAAGAUCGCGAUGGUUGAGUACUUUGAUGAGCGAUAUGCAUCUCUAGAAGAGACAACUGCCGCUACAGUCACUUCGGCUGUAACCGCGGCAGGGGUUGGAGGAGGAGCCGACAGGGCUUUCCAGUACCAGGACUUCGAUAAGACGAAUCCCCCGACAUUUGAUGGUACACAAGAUGCGAUCAGGGCUAUGAGGUGGUUAUCUGACGUGGAGGGCUGUUUCUUCAUCUGUUCAUGUCCUGCUGACCAGAAGGUUAGGUGUGCCCUAAACCUGCUGAGGCUUGGGGUAAAGGACUGGUGGAGAUUGACGACAAGGUCGUACACUGAUGAUCAGCGAGCCGCUGUUACUUGGGAGCAGUUCUGGGAUAUGUUCCUCACCUGCUACGUUCCACGCGUUGAGCGGGAGCGGCUUGCUUGGGAGAUUUUGAGAUUGAGGCGGGAUGGGGAGUCAGUGAUGAAGAUCACUCAUAUGUUCACGGAGAGGGAUAUGUUUUGUCGAGAGUUUGCUUCAAUGCAGUCUUAGAUGACUUGUUAUCUGAGUAUGCUCAAGACUGAUAUUCGACAGUUUGUUGCUACGCAACGUUGUGAGACUCUCUUGGAUCUUCAGGAAGCCGCGAGGCGGCGUGAGUUGGAGUUAGAGCUGCAGUUGAAGGAGCAACGUCAGGUUGCGACACAGUCUCAGACGGCACCUAAGUGGUCCAAGACCGCUGAUACUCGGACCGGGGGUCAGCAGAGCCGCACUUGUGGAAAGUGUGGCAGGGGUCAUUCUGGGGUUUGUCGAGCAGGAGGUGGUUGCCACAAAUGUGGCAAUAAGGGACACUAUGCCAGGGACUGUCUCCAGUCCGCCCCUCCAACAGAUAUGAGGAUUUGUUACCAGUGUCAUCAAGUUGGUCACGUGAAGACUAACUGCCCGCAGCUCGCCGCCAAGCCGGCGUAGGGAUCCACACCGACUACUUUGAGGAUUGGGGAUGGGAGGCCGGUCAAGGUGGAGCCUCCAAAGGCUUAGGGGUGCGCCUUCCAGCUCAUGGCCGAGGAGGCCAAGGUAGCACCGGAUGUGGUUGCUGGUAUGUUUCUAUUUUCUAUUUCAGUUAUUGUAUCUGUGUUAUGCUUAUCGGUGGUACCUGUGUUUAGGUACGUUAUUAGUAAACUCUUUGCCUGCUUUGGUUUUAUUCGACUCAGGGGCGAGUCGGUCGUUUGUAUCUCAGACCUUCAGUAGAGGGUUCAGUAUGUCGGUAGAUGAGCUUGAGUGUCCGUUGCGAGUUUCGAUCGCCAACGAGCAUAGGAUUUAUGCUUCUUCGAUUUUCUGGGGAUGCAAGCUGGAGAUUUUUGGGGUAUCAUUCCCGAUAGAUUUGAUUCCUAUUCCCAUGGGGGAAGUAUGUGUGAUCGUAGGGGUGGAUUGGCUCAGCCGGUUUGGCGCCAUGAUUGACUAUGAGGGUCAGCGAGUGGCUGUUCGAACCCCAAGUAGGGGUGAACUGGUAGUGUAUGGUGAGGGCACCAAAGUGGGAGCAGGGUUUUGUUCAGCCGCCACGACUCGGCAAUUCAUUCAGCACGGGUGUGCCGGUUAUCUAGUGUAUAUGAUAGAUACGCGGAUUGAGGAUCAUACUUCAGUUUUAGAGGUUCCAGUGGUUAGGGAGUUUGCUGAUGUGUUUCCUGAUGAGCUACCUGGAGUGCCUCCAGAGAGGCAGGUAGACUUCAGGAUUGAUCUAAUGCCGGGUGCGGCCCCUAUCGCCAAGGCGUCGUACUGUCUGCCAUCGCCAGAGAUGCAGGAGUUGGCAUCUCAGCUGUAGGAGCUGCUGGGUAAGCAGUUUAUUCGCCCGAGUAGUUCACCCUGGGGAGCACUGAUCCUCUUCCUCAGGAAGAAGGACGGUUCGCACAGGAUGUGCAUUGACUAUAAGAAGUUGAACAAGUUAACUAUGAAUAACCGUUAUCCACUCCCGGGGAUAGAUGAUCUUUUUGAUUAGCUACAGGGUGCAUCUUGGUUCUCCAAGAUCGAUUUGAGGUCCGGAUAUCACCAGGUCAGGGUGAGGGAGGAAGAUGUGGAGAAGUCCGCGUUCCAAACUCGUUAUGGUCAUUACGAGUUCGUGGUGAUGCCGUUUGGGCUCACCAACGCGUCGGCAGUGUUCAUGGAUUUGAUGAACCGAGUCUACAUACCGAUGCUCGAUCGCUCGGUCAUUGUGUUCAUAGAUGAUAUCUUGGUGUAUUCCAAGACCCGAGAGUAGCACGAGGAGCAUCUCAAGGAGCUGUUGGAGGUUCUGCGACGUGAACGGUUGUAUGCCAAGUUCUCGAAGUGUGAGUUUUGGUUACGAGAGGUCCAGUUCCUUGGACAUAUCGUUAAUCAGGAGGGGAUUUUGGUCGAUCCGGCCAAGGUGGACUAGGCAUCCACACUAUUGGUGCUAGACUCUAAAACUCCAAGCAAUNUAUCUCCCUCGGACAUCAGGAGUUUCUUGGGUUUAGCAGGGUACUACCGGAGAUUCAUUUGAGAUUUCUCCAAGAUUGCGGUACCCCUCACUCGUUUAACGAAGAAGAGGGUGGAUUUAUGGUGGGGCCCUGAGCAGCAGAAGGCGUUUGAGACCCUCCGGCAGUGUUUAUGUGAGGUGCCGGUGUUGACACUCCCCGAGGGAGUCGAGGAUUUUGUAGUAUUUUGUGAUGCAUCCAUCUGCGGGCUUGGGGGCAAUCCUCAUGCAGAGAGUACGAGUGAUAGCUUAUGCAUCGCGGCAGCUGAAGCCGCAUGAGACGAGAUACCCUACGCAUGAUCUUGAGUUGGGAGCGGUGGCUUUCGCUCUCAAGAUUUGGAGGCAUUAUCUGUACGGGGUCCGUUGCACUAUAUAUACGGAUCACAAGAGUUUGAGACACAUCAUCGAUCAGCUGAACCUGAACAUGAGGCAGCGUAGGUGGCUGGAUGUGGUCAAGGACUAUUAUUGUGAUAUCCUUUACCAUCCUGGUAAAGCAAAUGUGGUUGCAGAUGCUUUGAGCCGCAAGUCAGCUAGGUCUUCUACCCCAACAAGGUGUAUAAGAAUAGUGGUGGAUUCCCCGCUUGUGAGCUUGAUUAGGGAUGCUUAGGUUGAGGGUAUGAGAUCGGAGAAUUGGAAGUUAGAGAGGAUUAAGGGGGAGAGCGCCCGGUUCGUUCAGGAUAGCCGCGGAUUAUUGUCUCGAUACGGUCGGGUUUGGGUUCCGAUGUCCGGAGGGGUCCGACAGACAGUGAUGGAGGAGGCUCAUAAGUCUCACUUUUCCAUUCACCCGGGGGCCAACAAGAUGUACCGCGAUUUGAGUUUGAGUUAUUGGUGGCCUGGUAUGAAGCGAGAAAUUGCUUGGUAUGUGGAGAGGUGCUUGACCUGUAGGAUGGUCAAGGACGAGCAUCAGAGGCCGCAUGGUAAGCUGUAGCCUCUGGAGAUUCCCAUGUGGAAAUGGGAGCAGAUCACGAUGGACUUCAUUACGAAGUUGCCGAAGACGAUGAAGGGGUUCGAUGCUAUGUGGGUCAUCGUGGAUCGGUUGACCAAGAGUGCCGCCAUACGGGAGAGUUCGUCGGCUGAGAAAUUGGCCGACAUGUACGUCAGCGAGAUUGUCUCUCGCCAUGGGGUCCUAGUCUCCAUUGUCUCCAAUCGGGAUAUCAGGUUUACUUCCUACUUCUGGAAGAAGUUCCAUGAGGAACUAGGUACACGGCUGUAUUUUAGUACGGUGUUCCAUCCGCAGACCUAUGGGCAGAGUGAGCGGAACAUUCAGACCCUAGAGGAUAUGUUGAUGGCGUGCAUCAUUAACUUCGGUGGGAGUUGGGAUUCCCACCUACCGCUUGCAGAGUUCGCCUACAACAACUAUCAUUCCAGUAUUGGCGCCCCACCUUUUGUGCUGUUGUAUGGUCGGAGAUGUAGAACCCCGGUCUGUUGGGGUGAGGUUGGACACAGAGUGAUGGGUCAGACGGAGGUAGUCUUGUAGACUACCAAAAAGAUCCAACAGAUCAGACAGCGGCUGCAAACCGCUCAGAGUCGGCAAAAGAGUUACGUUGAUAGACGCCGAUCGGAUUUAGAGUUUUAGGUUGGUGACAUGGUACUUCUAAAGGUCUCACCCUCGAAGGGUGUGAUCCACUUCAGGAAGAGGGGAAAAUUGGGCCUGUGUUAUAUUGGGCCAUUCAGGAUCAUUGCCAGGGUUGGAAAAGUGGCUUAUAGGCUUGAGCUACCGGAGAAUCUUAGCCGAAUUCAUAGCACGUUCCAUGUUUCGCAAUUGCGAAGUGUAUUAUGGAUCGGGAGGCAGUAUUAUCGUUGGAUGAUAUUCAGGUCGAUGAGCGCCUGUAUUACGUGGAGAGGCCUGUAGCCAUCUUGGAAAGGAAGAAAAAGAUCUUGCGGAACAAAGAAAUACCUUUGGUGAAAGUGCAGUGGGAACAUCAGAGGGGAUCCGAAUGGACAUGGGAGCGGGAGGCGGAAAUGCGAGAGCAUUACCCGGAGUUGUUUAUUCCAGCAGACUUCGAGGGCGAAGUCUAGUUCAAGUGGGGGAGAAUUGUAACGCCCCGAUUCUCAGGUAUUGUUUAAAUAUGAAUUUCUUUGAUUUUGAGGUCUACACAACGAUUUAGUUGUUCUACUCGCCGAGUAGCAGCGGGUUGGGGACGCGUAUUUAGUGGCCUACUCGCCAAGUCCAUCUAGGGACUCUACGAGUAGGACCUGGCAGAUGAAACCCUAAAACCCGAGGUUUGGCACCCUAUUUAAGGAAGCAUAAUCCUCCUUUGGCCUCUUUGCAGUCCAUUGAGAGCUCAGAAAACCCUAAUUUGUGUGGUGCUUCAUUCUUGAGUGUUUAAAGCUUUGGAGAGGAGAUCCUUUGAGAAGAGGAACUUGAAGGACAUAAGGCUAGGGGCAAGGAGGUGUGGGAAAUUAGAAAUCUACCUCAGAUAGCAUCAUUUGGAGGUAUCAAGUCGGCACCUUUACUUCAUUUUCCUUCUAGACCUCUUUUGGUUGAGAUCUAGGGUUUUUAUGGUUUGGUUGGGAUAAUAAUGUGGGAUAUGGGCUAGAUCUGAAGUUGUAACUUCAGAUCUGGACCCUUCUUCGGUUCUAGAUUCAUAAAGCCCCGAAUUUGGUCAUGUAUGAAGCCUCUUUGAGUAUGAAACCCCAUUGUGAGCUUGGAUUUGACAUUUAGAGCCUUUGUAGCUAUGCAUGCACGUAAAGUUUGCAACUUUACAUGAAAAGCAUGCCUUAGAAGCUUGGAUCUGUAAUUUGGAGCCAGUGUAUGGCUUAAAAGAGUUUGUAUGGCUUAAGGACUGAUGGAACUCGACGAGUCGCAAGGUUGACUUGGCGUGUCUCAUGAAGAUGAGCCUGGACCCGACGAGUUGGAUGAACAAAUCGGCGAGUACGAUGAAGAUUGCUGCAGACUCGACGGCUUGGAUGAACAACUCGGCGAUUCGGUUGAGGUUUCCCCAAUUUAUGCAUGCGUGUGUAACCGUCGAGUUGCAAGAAGGAAACUCGAUGAGUGGCCUUAGGGUUUCGAUCAUAAACCAAAGGAACUCGAUGAGUCGCUCCGGUGACUCGACGAGUGGGCAAGUAAUUCAAGGAACUCGACGAGUAACCGAGGGUUCUCGGUGAGUUAGGGUCAACAUGGACUGUUGACCUUGACUAAUGACUUUGACUUUGACCAGGGGUCGACUAGUUGGCUUAUGGAGUAGCCUGUAAGGUUGAGGACUUAUGGGUAUAUUCGUAUUAUAGUAAUAGGUGGUGGAGUCUUUGGCAAGUGAUCCGAGAGUUGGAGUUUAUCUAUCGAGUCGACAUCUGCAAGGUGAGUUACCCUCACUAUAUCAAAAGGGUCUAAGGCACCAAGGCCGACCCUUUCGUUGUUAUGGUUAUGAUAUGAUAUAUGCGGUUAUGAUCUGAUAGGUCGGAAUAAGGAUAUACAGGAUGUUAUGCUUUCAUGAUCCUUAGGGAUUGGCAUGUUAGUGGCCUGCUAUGUCGGUGCUCUAGUUAUGAGAGAUUGCUAUGAUUGAUGAUCAAUGAGAUAGAUAUGUUUGAUGUCUGUAUAUGCCAAUAUAUGUUAGUUAUGCGCACAUGAUUAAUUGCCCAUUGGUUGGGUUGAGGCGGUCCUGCUUUGUGCUGAAGGCCAACAUACCCUAUGAGCGGUCCGAGGAGACUGUAGGCCCACGUGGCGGUCCAUUCAUGCUGAAGGCUCGGUAUAGAUUUAGUUAGACUGUAGGCCUUGUAGGGCGGUCCAGUCAGGUCGAUGGCCCAGUAUGGAUGUUGAUUGAUUGAUUAUUACUGGUAUGGUAUUAUCAGUGUGGUAUUGGUAUUUUGGGGGGUAACUCACUUAGCCCUUGGGCUUACAAUUUUCAGUUAUUGUUUCAGGUACUGCAGGAGAUCAUGGCAAGGCGAAGGCGUGACCGUACCACUCCUCAUCCUUAUGAUUUGGAUUUUAGGACACUCUGAUUGAAUAAUGAUUUGAAAACAUUUUUUUGUAAACAAUACUAUUGGGUUUUAUUUAUGAUUGAAAAAGUUUAAAUUUGGCGUAAAAUUGAUGGAUGUUACAGAUGCCAUUUGGGCUCACCAAUGCUCCAGCCGCGUUCUUAGAUCUCAUGAACCGCGUGUGCAGAAUGAUGACGGAUUGGUCUGUAAUAGUAUUUAUUGACGACAUCUUGGUUUACUACAAGACUCAGGAGCAGCAUGAGGAGCACUUGAGAGAGGUGCUAGAGACACUGAUGAGGGGGAGACUUUUUGCGAUGUUCUCCAAGUGUGAGUUCUAGGUGCGUGAGGUGCGGUUCCCUUGGCACCUCAUCAACCAGAAGGGUAUUGUGGUAGAUCCGGCCAUGAUAGAGUCCGUGAUGUAGUGGGGGAUUCUGUUGUCUCCAUCCGAGAUUCAGAGCUUCCUGGGUUUGGCAGGGUAUUACAAGAGAUUCAUCCAGGAUUUCUCCAAGAUAGCAGUUCCGUUGACCCGACUGACCAAGAAGUCAGUGGUGUUUUGUUGGGGUCCUGAGCAGUAGACAACCUUUGAGAAGCUCAGGCAGCGACUGUGUGAGGCGCCGAUCCUUACCUUGCAGAGGGAGUAGAUGACUUUGUAGUUUACUAUGACACUUUGAUCACAGGUAUGGGAGCAAUGUUGAUGCAACGGGGGCAAGUGAUAGCUUAUGCCUCGAGACAGUUGAAGCCUCACGAGGCUAACUACCCAAUGCAUGAUUUAGAGCUGGGGGUGGUGGUGUUCGCCCUCAAGAUUUGGCGGCACUACCUCUAUGGGGUCUAGUGUACCGUCUACACGGACCACAAGUGUUUGCGGUACCUAAUGGAUUAGCCAAAUCUGAAUAGCGUCGGUGGUUAGACGUGGUAAAGGAUUACGAUUGUGAGAUCCUUUACCACCCAGGCAAGGCCAACGUAGUGGCCGACUCCCUGAGCCACAAGGCGGUAGUGGCUCCGAUUCGAGAUAUCUGUCUGAGGAUGCUAGUGAUUACACCACAGUUGGAGCAGAUUAGGGAGAUACAGGUUGAAGGCCUGAAGGAGGAAUGCCAGAAGUGUGAGAGGAUAGUGGGCCACGUGGCUUCAUUUGACUACGAUAGCCGAGGAUUGUUGACCUUGCAUGGGAGGGUUUGGGUACCGUAAUGGGGCGGAGUACGACAUGUAUUGAUGGAUGAGGCCCACCAGUCGCGGUUCUCCAUCCAUCCAGGGGUGCUGAAGAUGUACAGAGAUCUUCGACCCGAUUACUGGUGGCCCUACAUGAAGCGGGACAUAGCUUGGUACGUGGAGAGAUGCCUGAUAUGCAGGAAGGUCAAGGCGGAGCAUAAGAGGCCACACGGAAAGAUGCAGCCUUUAGACAUUCACGAGUGGAAAUGGGAGGACAUCACCAUGGAUUUCAUCACUAAGCUUCCCAGGACCGCACGUGGGGUCGAUUCAAUAUGGGUUAUUGUAUCGGUUGACCAAGAGUGCUCAUUUCAUACCGAUCUAGGAGAUCAUAUCAGCCAAGAAGCUGGCUGAGAUCUAUGUACGAGAGAUAGUGGCACACCAUGGAGAGCCUGUCUCAGUGGUGUCAGAUCGAGAUGUCCGUUUUACUUCUAGGUUUUGGAAGCGGUUUCACGACGAGAUGGGCACUCGUCUCCAUUUCAGCACUACCUUCCACCCUCAGAUGGAAAGUCAGAGCCAGAGGACGAUUCAGACUCUCAAGGACAUGCUUCGAGCAUGCGUAAUAGAUUUCGUGGCAGUUGGGAUACAUAUCUUCCGUUAGCGGAAUUUUCGUAUAACAACAGCUACCACUCCAGUAUAGACCGGCCUCCCUUCGAGAUGCUUUACAGGAGGAAGUGUAGGACCCCAAUCUGUUAGGGUGAGGUCGGUCAGAGGGUCACGGGGAUUACUGAGGUAGUACUCAAGACCAUAGAGCGGAUACAUCAGAUCCGGAGCAGGCUCCAGACUGCUCAAAGUUGGCAGAAGAGUUACGCUGACAGACGACGCUCAGAAUUGGAGUUUUAAGUGGGUGACAUGGUCCUCCUAAAGGUGUCACCCUGGAAGGAUGUUAUUCGAUUUUGGAAGCGGGGCAAGCUGGGCUCCAAAUUCAUCGGGCGCUUCUGGGUUGUAGCACGGGUGGGAAAGGUGGCAUACCGGUUAGAUCUUCCAGCAGAGCUUGGCCAGAUACACAGUACAUUCCACGUUUCUCAAUGGCGGAGGUGCUUGGUGGAUGAUUCAGUAGUGGUACCUGUAGAGGAUAUUCAGGUUGAUGACAGCCUGAAUUACAUAGAGAGGCCAGUGGCGAUUCUGGAUCGCAAGACGAAGGAGUUGAUAAACAAAAGGGUCGAGCUAGUAAAGGUGUAGUGGCAGUACAUGAAGGGUUCUGAGUGGACAUGAGAGUCCGAGGAGGAAAUGAGGGAGCACUACCCGGAGUUGUUCCCGGAUGCAACAGCAGCAGCAGACUUCGAGGACGAAGUCUGAUUCAAGUAGGGGUGAAUUGUAACACCCGUUCCACAAGGUAUAAUUUGAUUUAUUUAGUUAAUAAUUGUUUUGGACUAAUACUUGGGCAAUGGAUUUAUUUGGAGUGGGCUUAGGAAGUAGGCCGCCUAUAAGCUGUAUGACAGGUGUAACCUGGCAUACGCGGGGCAUAAUGGCCAUUGGAUUCGAGGGACGCGGGUGCAUACGCCCAGCGUACGCGGGCAGAUGCUAAACCCUAGUUUUAGGGUUAAGGACUUAUAAAUACAUCAUUAUAGCCUCCCUUUUUGGCCUCAUUACCUGUCCAUCACCCUCAGAGAAACCCUAACUCAUUCAUACUCUUCCUUGUGUGUGUGUGUUUGACAUUUUUGAGCUUAUUUUGGCAAAGAAGGAGUUAGAAGAAGAAAAGAAAGGUUGGAGAAGAAGCCCUUGAUUACCUUGAGCUCAGGGAUCUGGAUUAAGCUCAUCAUUUGGCAUCAAGAGGAGGUAUAAAGCUUCUAACUUUCCUCCUCAAAGUCUAGAUCUAGGGUUUUGGAAGACUUGGACCUUUUAGGUCCAAAGAUUGGAGCCUGGUCAUGCAACUUCGAUUUUGAGUUUAGGGUUGCCACCCUUGAAGCUCAAUGAGUCCCCUCCCACAGAUUGAUGACCUCUUUGAUCAGUUGCAGGGUGCAUCUUGGUUCUCCAAGAUCGAUCCGAGGUCCGAAUAUCAUCAGGUAAGAGUGAGAGAGGAGGACGUGGAGAAGACCGUGUUCCGGAAUUGUUAUGGGCAUUACGAGUUCGUAGUGAUUCCAUUUGGGCACAACAAUGUGGUUGCAAUAUUUAUGGAUUUGAUGAAUCGGGUGUGUAGGUUAAUGCUCGACCGAUCUGUUACAGUGUUCAUUGAUGAUAUCUUGGUGUAUUCCAAUACCAUAGAGCAGCACGAGAAGCACCUUUGAGAGCUUUUGGCAGUAUUGAGGCGAGAACGAAUGUAUUCCAAGUUCUCAAAGUGUGAGAUUUGGUUACAAGAGAUCCAAUUCUUGGUACAUCUCGUUAACCAAGAUGGGAUUUUGGUCGAUCUAGCCAAGAUCGAGGCUAUGAUGCAAUGGGAGUUUCUGAAAUCUCCCUUAGAGAUCAUGAGUUUCUUGGGUUUGGCGUGAUACUAUCAUAGAUUUAUUCAGAACUUCUCCAAUAUCGCAGUACUCUUCACUUGUCUGACGAGGAAGGGAGUGGAUUUACGAUGGGGCCCUGAGCAAUAUAUUUCUUUUGAGACGAUGUGACAGAGGUUACGUGAGGCCCCAGUGUUGACCCUUCCCAAGGGUGUUGAGGAUUUCGUGGUAUUUUAUGAUGCAUCCUUCACUGGUUUGGGGGAGAUCCUUAUGCAGAGGGGAAAAGUGAUUGCUUAUGCUUCUCGACAGCUGAAGUCGCAUGAGGCGUGAUAUCCUAUUCAUGACUUGGAGUUAGGGCAGUAGUGUUUGCCCUCAAGAUUUGGAGACAUUAUCUUUAUGGGAUCUGUUGUACUAUUUACAUGAAUGUGGUAGUGGAUUCUUUAAGCCUCAAGUCGGUUGGAUCUUUAGUGGGAGACAUGUGUAUGAGGAUAUCUGUUGAUUCUCCACUUUUGGGUUUGAUUAGAGAGGCACAGGCCGAGGGGGUUUGGACGAAGAACUGGAAAUAGGAGAGGAUCAGGGGCGAGAUCAACAGGUUUGUCACCAAUAGUCAGAGGUUGUUGUCCCGGUGCGGUCGGGUUUGGGUUCCCAUUUCUGGUGGGAUCGGGCAGAUAGUGUUGGAGGAGGCUCAUAAGUCUUGCUUUUCUACCAAGAUGUAUCAGUAUUUGAGAUUGAGUUUUUAGUGGCCAUAUAUGAAGAGGGAGAUAGUCUGGUACAUUGAGAGGUGGUUGACAUGUAGAAUGGUCAAGGCCGAGCAUUAGAGGCCGCAUGACAAGCUGAAACCUUUAGAGGUUCCUAUGUGGAAGUGGGAAUAGAUCACCAUGGAUUUUAUCACCAAAUUGACGAAGACUGCCAAGGUUUUUGAUGCUAUAUGCGUAAUCGAGUAUCGAUUGCCUAAGAGUUCCCAAUUUUUGGCCAUCCGGGAGAGCUCUCCGGCUGAAAAGUUGGUCGAUGUAUAUGUUCGAGAAAUUGUUGCUCGUCGUCGCUCGUUGUCGGGUUUGGGUCUCCAUUGUUUAAGACCGAGAUGUUCGGUUCAUUUCCCGAUUAUGGAAGAAGUUCCACGAGGAACUGGGCACAUGCUACAUUUCAGCACUACUUAUCAUCCGCAGACCGACAGUCAGAGUGAGCGAAUCAUCCAGACCCUUAAGGAUAUGUUGCGGACUUGUGUCAUAGAUUUCGGUGGGAGUUGGGGUUCCUACCUACCUCUUGCGGAGUUUUCCUCCAACGAUAGCUAUCACUCUAGCAUUGGUGCCCCGCCUUUUGAGCUGGUCGGAGAUAUCGUACCCCAAUAUCAUGGGGAGAGGUUGGUCACAGGGUCAUGGGAAGGACCGAAGUAGUCCUUUAGACCACAGAGCUUAUUCUAUUGAUCAGGUAGAGACUAUAGACUGCUCAGAAUUGACAGAAGAGUUAUGUUGACUGACAUCGAGCAGAGUUGGAAUUUCAGGUCGGUGAUAUGGUAUUACUAAAGGUCUCACCUUGGAAGGGUAUGAUACGAUUCAGGAAGAGGGUGAAUUUCAAGUCGGUGAUAUUGGACCUUUUCGGGUGAUUACCAGGGUGGGUAGGGUGACCUACCAGUUGGAUUUGUCGAGUGAGCUCAAUCAGAUCCACAACACUUACCAUGUGUCUCAGUUGUGCAAUUGUAUGUUGGACGGUGAGGCGGUGUUCCCUUUGGAUGAUAUUCAGGUCGAUCAGCGCUUGAAUUAUAUUGAGAGGUCGGUGGCAAUUUUGGAGAGAAAGAUGUGAUGGGUUAUGAGCAUUCUAACACCCCUAAGUGUACAUGCAACCCUAGAAAACCUUGGAUCUAUGUUUGUCUAAAAUACAUGCAAAAUAUGAUUUCCAAGGUUCAUAAUCCUAUCUAGCAUACAUGGGGAACUUUUAACAUAAAAGAUGGCUAGAAUUACCUACCUUGUAGUUGAUUUGAUUCCUUGAAAACCUUGAGAGCCUAACACCCCAAGUGUGAUGCCUCAAAUCUUUCACACAACACCAAGUGCUUUGGAAUAACUUUGAGAGAAUGUAGAACACUUCAAAAAUGGCCUAGCCCUCUUCUUUUCUUAGUGUAACCGAUUUCAGAUGAUAUCAUGUUCUUUAUAUAGUGUGUUACACGUAGGGUUACACCAUGUAAACCCUAAUGUAACAUAACUCUUCAUUCCCAUGACCCAUGGGUUUAAACCUCCAUGGAACAUCCUUUGGGUCUUAGCCCAACUUGAUAAUCCAUGGAGCCUUUAGCCCACUAUACAAGUUAUGGAUGAUUUAAAUAAUCAAACCAUAUAUUUAAUUAGUCAUCUUUUGAUCACUUAAUUUAUUCUAAAUUAAUUCUUGAUCAAUACUAAUUAAAUAAUAUUAUUAAUAUAUUAGAACUUAUAAUAUAUUAAUAAACCAUAAGUGUUAUUUCUCUCAUUCUAGUUUAUCUAAAUGCAUGAUGCCAUGCAACCCAAAUGGACCAUGCCGGGUCAUGUCAAGUACUUACCAAAUAUAGUUAUGGACUUAGACACCUUAUCCAACAGUCUCCCACUUGGAUAAGUCUAAUAACUAUAACUGCAAGUAUGACUUCAGGAACCGAUCAACAAUCAUGGCUCUUUCAAGGUCUCUCAUAACUGAGAAGAUGAUGUUACACCAUUUAAGAUAAGUGAUCAUAUAAUCCUAUGUUCUAGAUAUCAGCCGGACAAAUACAUGGAACAAUGUCUUACUUAUUGUCCAACAGUUUGUUUCACGAUUUCCGAUUUGUUUGGCAUAGAACUAAAUUGAACACGUCAAUUCGGUUCUGACUAGGCCCAGUACAUAGGUCAAAACAAAAUCAUCGAGGGGCCCAGAUAUCGCUUCUAAUCCAAGAAGGAACAUAUAAACUUCAACUCAUAUGGUUGUUCUACUACUUGUUGAAUCACACCCAAAAGUACAUUUUAUAACAUUGAGUUACCAAUGCGGUUUCGCACGAUCAAUGCAUAACCAACUCAUAGGCAACAAGUCAUAUCUCUAGGUUUGAAGACUUAUAUGAUAUUACCAUCUCACGAUCACUCGAGAUAAAUUCCAUGAAGUGAUACCAGUGAGCGUGGGUUGAAUCCAAUACUUAGAACUUGUGAGCACUCAUGAGUGUUGUAGCCAUGUCCAACAACUUAGACCUCUGCAACCAACUCAUGACACUCUUGAUUCAUACCUACUUCCAACAUGUGACCGACUGUGGAGAAUUCGAAUAAUAUGAUAUACCAAACAUAAUUUUUCUAGAAGUCAAAACAUGAAAAAGAAAUAUAUUAAUGGUUGACAAAAGAUAACAACACUUUACUCAUAAAUAAACACAUCUUUUAUUCAUCAUCAAAUGUCAAUUACACUUUACAAAUUUCAAAAUUAUCUAACUACUAAAACUAAUAUCAUCCUUUAGCCCUAUGCUCCGAGCAUGCUGGAGAUCCUUAACCCGACUCAGUCCCUUCGUGAGGCGUUUUGCUGGGUUCUCAUCCGAUGAUACCCUCUUUGCCACGAGGAGUCCUUAUUUUAUUCGAUGUCUGAUGAAAUGGUAUUUUCUGUCGAUGUGUCUGGAUCUCCUAUGAUCCAUUGGUUCCUUGGCUAAGGCAACAACACUUUCACUGUCACCGAAAAUUUCCAUUGCCUCCUUUAUAGCUGGUACAACUCCAAGGUCUCUAAUGAAGUUCUUCAGCCAUAUUGCCUCCUUUGCUGCCUCACUUGCUGCUAUAUACUCUGAUUUGUAUGUUGAAUUAGCCACUGUCUCCUGCUUGGAACUCUUCCAAGUGAUUGCUCCUUUGUUUAAGGUAAUGACCCAGCCUGACUGAGAGCGGAAAUUAUCCCUAUCAGUUUGAAAACUAGCAUCACCAUACCCUACAACUCUCAAGUCAUCACUCCCACCGAGGGUAAGGACCCAAUCCUUAGUCCUCCGCAGGUACUUGAGGAUAUUCUUUACCACAAUCCAGUGAGCCUUGCCAGGGUUCCCCUGAUAUCUGCUGACCAUGCUCAAGGCAAAGGCUACAUCAGGAUGAGUGUAGGUCAUAACAUAAAUGAUCGAGCCUACUGCUGAAGCAUAAGGUACUCGACUCAUUUAUGCUAUCUCAGCCUCAGUACUCGGGCUCUGAGUUUUACUCAGUCUGGCGUUACUCUGGAUGGGUAACUCUCCUUUCUUGGAAUCUUGCAUGCUGAACCUUUUCAGCACCUUAUCCAAGUAGGUACUCUGACUAAGUCUAAUUAGUCUUUUACUCCGGUCUCUCAGAUGCCUUAUCCAUAGAAUAUAGGCAGCGUCUCCUAGGUCUUUCAUAGAGAAACACUUCCUAAGCCAGGACUUCACUUCCUGCAAGGUUGGGAUGUCAUUUCCUAUAAGUAGUAUGUCAUCCAAAUACAGUACCAAAAAGCUAACUAUACUCCUACUAGCCUUGACAUAGACACAAGAUUCAUCUUCACUCCUCGAAAAACCAAAAUCUUUGACUUUCUCAUCGAAGGAAAGAUUCCAUCUGCGGGGUGCCUGUUUCAAUCCAUAAAUGAAUUUCUCGAGCUUACACACUCUAUUAGGGUAUUCUGUACUAACAAAACCCUCUGGCUGACUUAUGUAAACAUCCUCAGCCAGUCUUCCAUUAAGGAAGGCGGUUUUGACAUCCAUUUGCCAUAUCUUAUAAUCAUGAAAUGCAGCAAUGGCUAACAGAACCCUAAUGGACUCAAUCUUUGCUACUGGUGAAAAGGUCUCAUCAUAAUCAACUCCUGGAGUUUGAGAAAAGCCCUUUGCAAUCUGUCGCGCCUUAUAUGUGUGUACAUUACCAUCCAUGUCGGUCUUCUUCUUGAAGAUCCACUUGCACCCAACUGUUUUACGACCUGGUACAUUGUCAACCAAAUUCCAAACUUGAUUGUCAUACAUGGACUGUAUCUCGUUGUUCAUUGCCUCUUUCCAUUUAGCAGACUCAGGGCUUGCCAUGGCUUCUGCGUAGCGGUUUGGUUCAUCCAGACUUACCAAUGUCUCAUCACUGAUAAGUGUCUCACCUUCCGCAGUAAUAUGGAAACCAUAGUAGUGCUCAGGUGCAUUUGAUGAGAAUUGUAAUCGAGAUUUAGAAAGCAAUCAUGAUUAUAUGAAUGAAAGUAAGAACACAAGGAGUAAAUAUUAAUCAGAUCUUAUAUUGAUGAAGAAACUGAUUACAAACUUAAGCAGAGAAAAAUGUGAGACUAACAAAUCACUCGUUGAAUCAAUCGUCUCUCUACUUCUAAACUCAGUCCCUAUUUAUAGGAAACAUGAGUGUACAAAACAUAUACUAAGUCCUUAACAAUACGCUUCGCACAAAUGAAGACUUAGUAAAAUAACUAACAUGUGAAACAGACACUUCGACUUUUACAAUUUCUAGACUCUACAUUCUCCCCCUUUGUAAACAGUUGAAGCUAUUCAGUUUGUGAGAUUCUGAACAGCUAAGUGCAUUGUUCUUCGGAUUUCAGAAUACCAAGUGAUGAUCUUUUUAAGCUCCUUCGUGUCUCCUUCAUUAUUCUUUGUGCAAUUAUUCAUACGAACAAUGAAAUUCGUAUAUUGCGAAGUGGUGUAUCUUUCAAUCUCAGAGACUUGAAACAAGAAUCUUUUAGGCUUCCCCUUGGUGUCUUUGCCUACGAAAACCAUGCCAAAAGGUUUAAGGCAUAUCUCUCCGUUUGCAUACUUCUUCAAUUCUCUUUGAGGCAAUGUUGACUCCCAAGAAACUGUAACUUUUCUUCCAAGGCCUGAUGCGAGUUCUUCAUCACUUAAUGCCAAGCAAUCAUAGUAGUUAUCUAUGAAUAUCUUGAUAUGUGCAAAACCAAAUCUGAACACAUCAGUAUCAUAUCCUUUGAGCUUGUUUUCUUUCAUGUCUUUCAGGAUAAGUGCCACUUGAAUGAGAUCAUUUAGAUUCAUUAAGGGAAAGUCAGCAAUGGUAAAAUCAAAAGCCUUGUUAUCUGCACGGACAACAAAGUAUCGAAAGUUUUGAAGUAUGUUCUCGAACAUUACAUCCUUCUUGAUAGUUAGUACUUUCUUUAUCUUCAUCAUAGACCAAACUUCCUCUUGAUCCUUCGCAAGUACAUCAUGAAAUCUAAUUUUCAUGUAGGUGUAUUCAUCAGCAUUUUCAAACUUUUCACUGAUAUUGUACUGCGUUCUGAUAAACAUCAUUUCGUUUAUCAGAAAGUCAAGUUGGCUUCUGUCUGAAUUCGCAACAUCAUAACUUCUUCUAGGCUUUUUCUCAAAAUCAUACAAAUGAUUUCCCAAGACUUUGGAUUCGAUAGUUUCAAAUAAGUACAACUUUGCAGGAUCACCCUUGUUUAAAGUUGGUGGAUCAUUUGCUCUUUGCCUUAGAAUGCUCUGAAUUUGUCUUUGUUUUUUCUUUUGCAUCUUCAGCCUCUGCUUUCUUUUCUUCUUUCGACUUUUCAUAAACUACCUCUUUUCCUUUUCCAGUAUUCACUGUUUGAGGUUUCGUACUUGAACUCCCUCCUUCUGUUGAACCAAUUAUAAUUCCUUUAGAAAUUGGCUUUGUAAUUGGCUUUGUUGUUACUAUUGUUGAAGGAAUUGGUUUUGUGAGUAUAGGCAAAGAUGUUUUAAGCUGAGUCGAAUGUAUCUUUCCAAUAGUUUUCGCAUCAUCCCCUUUACUUCCUUUUCUUUCUCCCCCUUGCACCCCUGUGAAAACAGGUGGGGCAUUCUUUGGUAAAACGGAAGUAAAAUUUGUAAUCGGGGCCAAUGCCUUCUGAAUAGCUUGCUCCAAAGUGUUGAAUUUAAGCGUUAAAAAUUCCGGAGUAAGAAUUCAUUGUUGAGAAGGAUUUGAAACACAACUCUUUAAUUCAGUCAUCAACUGAAUUAAUUUUGCGAACUGCUCCUUAUCUUCUUUGUGCUUGGCUUCGAUAAUUGGAGCAGAUGAUUGAUAAUCAGUAGCAAUCUUGGUAAGUGCUUCAGCAACAACAUCAACACAUUUUCGCACGUCCAAGUUUUGAGAAUUAAGCUCUUAAAUCUCUUUUGCAAUCUCCUUCUUUAACUCCUCAACCUUGAAGUUGAUAUCUUCUCGGACCUUCUUCACAUCUUGUACAAAAAGAACAUGUCGUUCUUUUGUAAUAAUUGUCAGAUCUCUUACAACACUAUCAAAAGAUUUCCCUUGAGCUUGAAUGUGAAGCUCAUUAUUCUUAUCAGAAGCAUCAACUUUCACAGUUAUUCUUUUCUCUGCAGCUUUGAUCAUUGUUUCAACCUCCGAACCCGAUACAGAAGACUUUGUACCAGAAUCAUCUUGUGAUUGAAUAAAUGCAUUCAACUUUCGAUUCAGGAUUUUAAAUUGCUUACCUGACAUAAGCAUAUGAUCAGGGAUUUCCUCCUCCUUUGAAUCAAAGUGUAAAGCUUCAAAUGUUCCUCCAAAACCUCCUCCUUCGGUUUCUUCAUCAGACUGAGCUUGCGAAGAUAUAGGUUAUGGUGUUUCAAGGGAUUGGGAUGGAAACAAUGUAGUGAAGGGAUGUUGUAAAGGAUGAUCAAAGAUGGAUGAUGUGGUUAUAUUUGUAUUCAGGAGAAGAAAUGGUGGUAAUGAAGUAGAUAAACUCUCAGAUGAGAUGGGUAAAGAAGUAGAUAAAAUGAUUGGCAUUGUAAGUUCAACACUCGUGAUAGGUGUCCCCGUAUCAGAUACGUUAACAACCAUAUCAGAAGUAGGUACCUCCUCAUGAACUGAUUUGGUAGUGACUACUUUGAGUAGAAUAGUUGUGGUAGUGGAAAUUUGCGAAGUAAUGGGAAGAGAGAUGUUUACCAUUGGUGAAGUUGAAACAGGUGGAGUCCUAGGAACCACUUCAUCAUCUGAUGACUCAUUGCGAAUAAUCAUCUUCCUUUUCUUGUACAGCUUCUUAGUGAUGUGCUUCGCAACAUCUUGAGCUCUUCUUUUCUUUGACAUAGGAGAAAUAGGAGCCGAAAUUUCUCUAAACAUAGCCCCCUUACUACUCACUUAAGUUUUGCGAAUAGUAGGAGAGGUAGUCUUCUUAUGUGACAACUUGCGAAGCUUUUUUAAGACCCUGACUUAGUCGGUAUGAUCUCCUUCUCAAGUUUGGUAGAAGACUCAACUUUCUCAACCUCUUCAGCCUUUGAUACUUUUGGAGAUUCGGGUUUUUCCUCCUUUUUAGUCUUCUUCUUCUUCUUGGAUGACUCACCACAGAAUUCAAGUAGCACUCCAGUUUGCACAUUAGGAUCAAAAGUCUUCAUGUAUCGAAUUAACACCUUGUAAAGAGAGGACACUUUGCAAAGCAUUGCAUCAAGAAUUCUUGCAACACUUGUGAAGAUAUUCACAUCAUCUUCAACAACUUUGGGAAAUUGGUACAAAGAAAACUCUGCGACAUCUCCUUCUUCAGGAACUUGAAUUCCUUCUUUUGCAUAUACCUUUUCCAAAAUCAAACUCCAGUACCUUGCACAAGAAAUCCCUUUAUCAACACUGGUGUUUUCUAAGCUUUUGUUGAACUCCUUCCAAAGCUGAGUUCCAUAAUCGACACUUAAGAUCGUAGUAAAGUCCCAUAACCAUUGCAUAAACCUCCAUUCUUCCCCUGUCUAGACCAACACUCCUUCCGGUCAAACAUCUUAGAAAGAUACCAAACAAGAAGUUCCAUAUACAUGGUAAGCUUGAUUUCCUGAAAUCACUUAUCUUUUCAAGAGUGGGUUGAUGUCCCAUCUCAUUGAACAUGAAGAUAAUAUGUGAGUUUGUUGGCUUAAAGAACGGUGGGUUAUGAGGAAUGUUCAAGAAGUCGAUGAACAUGUUCUUUUUAAGACGAAUCCUCUUGUUAUUCACCAGAUUGAAAGUUAUUACAUUUGUUGCAUAGUUGUAUGACGCAGUUGAUGCCGCCAUUGACAACCAAGUCAUAGGAACAAAGAAGGAAUUGAACAUAACAAUUGAUAAUGCUGAUCUUUUUAGUGCAACGAUCAACAUCUUCAAUUCUUCUGGAUAAGAUGAGACAUUAGGAUCAACUUGGUAAUUUGUGCUUUGAAUCUUCAUGAGGGACUGUGAGAUAACUUCUUCUGUGUUGGAUUGAGUAGUAGCCAUUGCUAAUCUGAGAAAUUUCUUGAAAGAAAGAUUAGGACUUUUUGUUCGUCUGAAAAUUUUGAAUCGCGUAAUGAUUAUCAGAAAAGAUUAUCCCUUUUAUAUGUUAAUCUCAAAGAUGAACCGUUUCCAAAAAUAGAGUAAGCUACGUGUUCCUGGAAACUUGCAAUCAAUAGCCGUUGUAAUGAUCAUUCCCCAUAAAGUGCCUUGAAACUAGGGCCAACGGUUACUGGAAACUGUUCAUAAGUACAGUUGUGUGAAUGAAGACGCUUCAGUAUCGAGGUUGGGCUCUUUCGUUCAUGGGAUUUUAAACGAAGUCAUUUACCAGUCUUGCGAAAUUGUCAGCCUAAGUUGGUAUUACUUAGAACCUCGAGGAUUUCGUGAGUGCAUGUGAUUCAAAGAAAUGAGAUAAGAAUCAAGUUAAAAAAAGAGUAAAUUACACGGAUGGUCCCUGUGGUUUGGGAUAAUUUGCACGUUUGGUACCUAACUUAUUUUUUUAACUCGGACCAUCCUUAUACUUUGGUUUUAUUUCGGAUAUAGUCCCUUGCAGAUCUGAAAUGACUAUUAUACCCUUAAAGCUUAUUUUAAUUUUUUAGUCUAUUUAAAUUUAUUAUUUAUAUUUAUAUUAAUAUAAUUAUAGUUAAAAAGGGACCAUUUAAAUCCACUUUCUUUCACUGUUGCUCCUUACCGUCACUUUCAACCUAAACAUAGACACCAUGAAAAACUGAUCACCCAUUUGCCGUCACCAGUGUCUAUUUCGUUGGAAACGUUUCACUAAUUUAGCCGCCGAAGACCUCUCGACCAUCAUCCAUCCUCCUAAACAAUCCACCGGACCAUACGACAAUCAUCUGUCUCCCUUUAACUCUCAACCAACAACACCAGACUAAGAGAAAAUCGUUGCCACUCACCCUCAUGAGACCUCAUCGGCAACCUCUAUGUCCCCCUCUUUCAGAUCGCCAUCAGAAGAAAGUAACUGUUAGAUCUCUUCAUCUCCCCCUUUAUAGAUUCCACCGAAAAAAACGAAGCUUUAGAUCUCCAAAAAACAAACCGAAUGGUUCAGGUCUACCAAAAAAAACGAAGCAAGUUACCAAAGAAAAUGGCGCAGAUCACCAGAGAAGAGAACACCGCAGAUUGCUGGAAAAAAACGAAGCAACUGAGUUCACACACCUGCAACUUUUUUUCUUAAUGGAAAUCUCAUUAGAAAUCAUUGUGUUUAGGCAUUUAGGGGAAAUGUGGAGAUUGUAAAAAAUCUAGAAUCCAAAAAACCGAAAUCGUGGCAAGUUGAAUCGUUCAAGGAUUCCUUCCUGUUCUAUUGUUCUUAGCCUUUGAUUUUGAUUAAAGGAUUCCUUCCUGUUAUAAUUUUGAUUGCAUAACAGGUCUCUUUUUUUUUUUCUGAUUUUGAUGGAUUGGAUAAUUCCUUUCGGUUCAUGUUUUUUUGGUGGUUUAAUGUAUUGAAUUGUUAUGCAAAGACGAAGAUUGAUAGGUUGCAGGUAAACAUGAAUGGGUUGGCAGGGAAGGUAAGAAAUCCUGUAGAGAAGAGGAUGAGGGUGAAGGAUUGGAGGGAGGUCAGGUAUGGGCGAGGGUGAUGGGCUCACAUCUAAAACAAUUUUUUUACAAUUUUAUUUAACAAGUUAAUAAAAAACAAUUAAAAUAAUAAGUAAGGGUAUAUUGGUCAUUUUAAGUUGGUUAGGGACCAAACGCAUAACAAAAUAAUACUAUAGGGACGGUCCGAGUUAAAAAAAUAAGUUAGGGACCAAACGUGCAAAUUACCUUAAACCAUAAGGACCAUCCAUAUAAUUUACUCUAAACUUUUUUUUUGAAUCCUGUGAUGCCAAAAUUUAUUGACACAAAGCAGUAAAACCUCAGGCAAAGGUUACUUCAUUAAUUACCAAGAGAGGUAAUUAAAUGCUUUCGCAUUUUCCCGUGACAUACAAUCGAAUACUUAUAGAAAAGUAUCGAAGGGCUUCUUUUAUAGGAUUAAUAUGGUGGUUUGUGAAUUUCGUUACAUAUCAUCCUAAACAUAAGGUGAGUAAUUGUAACCGAAAUUACUUGUUUGAACAUUGUGUUCAAGGACAAGAUUGCUUUGGAUUAUUUUGAAAAGUGACAAGAAUUUCAGAUAUAUACUCACACGGAAAGUAUAUUCAAAAAAAUUUUAAGUGUUGGACCCUGUUGGGAAACAAACUUCGUGGGUUUCGAAAAUUUGAUCAGGAUCACUCAUAAGAAUGAAUAUAAUUUGGAGUAUAUGAAAUAUUAGGUACUGAAACAAUUGUUUCGUAAAAAUCUGGAACGUAGUUCCCCUUCAAUUCCUUAAUUUUUGAAGUUUGUGGGUUUUACUUAUUUCACGGACUCAUGAAACAAGAUCAUUAACACAGAAUGAUGACAUGUCUAAAUCACGACUGGUUUGAUCAGGUCACCUCAUGGACAUGUGACUUUGUGUGUGUAUCGUAUUAAGAAAUUUUGUGAUGAAAAAGAUUGGUUAUAAGAUCGAAUGUACCUCUGUUAUUUAUGGACCAAACAGAAAACUCUUUACUCAUUUGAGAAGAGUAAGGUAGCUCUUUUGACUAAUGCGAAUAUAAGCCUGAUUGGGAAGAAAUUUUCAUAUGAUAAUUUCAUUAAGGCUUUUGUCUCUCACACAUAGAGUCAUAUGAGGCUUGGGUCAACAUGCUGCAGCAUGCUUCUAGGGACAUCCUAACUAGUACAAAGUUGAAAGAAAUGAUACAUUCCCAUAGAAACAUAAGCAUGACCUCUUCGCAUUUUGCUCUUGACUAAUACUGAAAACACACAAAACUUAAAGAACAAAGAAAAAAAAUAUUUUUGUGAUUUUGUAUUUCUCAAAAAUGAAAGACAAAACAAAAGAAAAUCUUUUUGUUGUUUUUGAAUUUUUUUUAAAAAAAAUAGACAAACAAAUGAAAAUAUUUUUGGUUUUUCUUGUUUUUCGCAAAGCAGAAAAGAACAAAAUUAAAUUGAACCUCAGUUACCAAAUGUGCGAAUGCGAAGCCUCUUAACGCACAAUAACUUCUGAAUGAUUCUGAUUCAGAGCUGCUGAAUGGACCUUUCAUUCUUGAGUUAUUGAUUUUGGCAAUGAAUUCGCAUCGAUCAUUCCAAAACCUGCUAAAAUUCUCACAAAUGAUUUUUCAUCAAGAGGUUUAGUAAAAAUAUCAGCAAGUUGUUCAGUGGUUUUAACAAAAUGUAUUUCGAUAUUCCCAUCUUCCACAUGAUCUUUGAUAAAAUGAUAUCGAAGAGCAAUAUGUUUUGUCUUUGAAUGUUGUACUGGAUUAUGACAAAUGCGAAUUGCACUUUGAGAAUCACAAUACAAGGGAAUAUUUUUCAUAUUUAUUGCAUAAUCACGAAGUUGACUCUGAAGCCAAAUGAUUUGCGAAGUGCAAGCAGCAGCUGAAAUAUAUUCAGCUUCAGUAGUUGAUAUAACAACACAAGUUUGCUUCUUUGACUGCCAACUCACCAAUUUUCCAUCCAAUAGUUGACAAGCACCACUUGUACUUUUCCUAUCCAAAGUACAUCCUCCUAGAUCUGAAUCUGAAAAAGCUUGAAUGAAGAAUCCAGAUUUCGAAGGAUACCAAAGUCCUAACGAAAUUGUACCCUUAAGAUAGCGAAAAAUAUUUUUCACUGCAGUCAAAUGAGGUUCUCUGGGAUUAGCUUGAUAUCUAGCACAAUUACAAACCGAAAACAUAAUAUCAGGUCUACUUGCAGUUAAGUACAAUAAAGACCCUAUCAUGCUUCGAUAAAGUGUUAAAUCAACAGCAGGAGUAUCUAACGAAGAAGUUAGUCUUGUUCCUACUGCCAUUGGUACUCUGAGUUUCGUGCUAUUAGACAUUCCAAACUUUUCAAGCAAAUUCUUCGUAUAUUUUUCUUGAUUGAUUAAGAUUCCAUCCCUGUUCUGUCUUAUGUUUAAGCCAAGAAAAUUAUUAAUUUUUCCCAUCAUGCUCAUUUCAAACUGACUUUUCAUUAGAUUUUCAAAUUCAAUUGACAAUGCUGGAUCAGUUGAGCCAAAGAUAAUAUCAUCAACAUAAAUUUGAACAAGCAUAAGAUGAUUCCCAACUUUCUUGCGAAAUAAUGUGGGGUCAAUUGAUCCUUGUUUAAAUUUAGAUUGUUUCAAAAAAUUUGUAAGUGUUGCGUACCAGGCUCUUGGUGCUUGUUUUAACCCAUAUACUGCUUUGUCUAGUAUGUAGACAUGAUCAGGAUGUUCCUCAUUUAUAAAUCCUGGUGGUUGUUCAACAUAAACUAUUUCUUCUAGUUCUCCGUUUAAGAAUGCACACUUAACAUCCAUUUGAAUAACAUUGAAGUCUUUGUGAGCUGUAUAAGGUAAAAAUAUGCGAACUGCUUCGAGUCUUGCGACAGGAGAAAAUGUUUCUUCAUAGUCUAUUCCUUCUUGUUUCAAAUAGCCUUUAACAACUAGUCUAGCUUUAUUUCGAAUAAUAUUGCCAUCUUUGUCGGUUUUAUUUUUAAAAAUCCAUUUUAAUCCGACAAUCGAAACAUCAGAAGGUUUAGGAAUUAAUCUCCAAACCUUAUUUCGUUCAAAUUCAGCCAGUUCAGAUUGCAUAGCAACAACCCAAUCUGAGUGUUCCAUAGCAUUCUUUACUGUCUUUGGCUCUAUUUUCGAAAUAAAAACAUUAAACAUACAUAAUUCUUGGUUCGCAUUCAGUACCUCAUUUUUCGCACGAAUUUGAGCUCUUGUCAACACACCAUCUUGUGGAUUCCCAAUCACCUGUUCUUUAGGAUGAUUCCUUGUCUAUUUCCCAAGUGGUGCAAAAUCAGGAUUGAAUUCCAUUGGUGCAUCUUCGUACAUAUCUUCAUUUUCAGAUCCUGCAAUAGAAAAAUUAUCAUUUAAUUCAUGAAAUUCAUCAUUUUCAUCAAGAUUAAUUGUCUAUGUUUCAUCAUGCUCCCUCUCAUCAUGAUGUUCAUCUUGAUGCUCCCUCUCAAAAUGAUGUUUAUGUUGAUCAUUUAAAGGUAAUUGCAAAUGCUCCCCCUCAACUUGAUUACUCAUAAUCUCAUUCUCCCCCUCGAAAGUUUUCUCUCCCUGUAUAUUUGUGGUCGUAUGCUCCCUCUCCAUAUGAACUUUAGGCACACUUUUGCAAGAUAUUGAAGUCGUAGUAAGUGUUGAAUCAUCAGUAUGUUUUGAGAAUUCUGAUGUUUGAUUAUCAGGAGCAUGAACUUCCGCAUCAAUUGCCCUGUCAGGAAUUCGGAAAAUUAAGUCAUAAUCAAAAUCAUUAAUAUCUGAAUUUUCAAUUUGGGUAUCUGAAUCAACAAGAAUUGAUUUAUUUUCAAAUUUACUAUCUGUUUGUUUAAGAUAGUAAUCAUCAAAGGUUAAGUUGAAAGUUUCUUCAACUUUUCUUGUUCGCUUGUUUAACACCCUGUAUGCAACUGAAUUUUGCGAAUAUCCUAAGAAUAUGCCUUCAUCAGCUUUCGCUUGGAACUUGGUCAAAUUAUCUUUUAGAUUCAUUAUAAAACACCUGCAACCAAAAACAUGAAAAAAUUUUACAUUAGGUUUUCGAUUGUUGAAUAUUUCAUAUGGAGUGAUAUUGAAUCUUCGAUGAAUGAAUGAACGAUUCUGAGUAAAACAUGCAUUCGACACAGCUUCAUCCCAAAGAUAUUGAGGUAAGUUCGCAUAUGUUAGCAUGGUCCUUGCUGCUUCACAUAGAGACCUAUUUCUUCUUUCAACAACACCAUUUUGUUGUGGAGUAUAUGGUGAUGAGAAAUUAUGCGAAAUGCCUUUGGCUGUGAGAAAUGAAUCUAGCGUUUGAUUUUUAAACUCGAAACCAUUGUCACUUUUAAUUCUGCGAACAUGCUUUUUAAGACUCAUCUCAAUCUUUUUGAUAAAAUCAAUCAUCGUCUAAGCAACUUCGGAUUUUAACCUGAGAAAGAAUACCCAUGUAAAUCGAGAAAAAUCAUCAACAAUAACUAAAAUGUACCGCUUUUUAUUGAUUGUAGCAACAGUCGACGGUCCACAUAAGUCAAUAUGAAGAAGUUCCAAUGGUUCCACGAUUUUUGAAUCUAUCACAAUUGGAUGACCUUUUCUAUGUUGUUUUCCUUGUUCGCAAGCUGCACACAAAGUAUCAUUGUCAAAUUUCAGUACAGGUAAACCUCUAACCAAAUCUUCAGUGAUAAGCUUGUUAAUAUUGCGAAAGUUCAAAUGAGACAAUCUUUUAUGCCAAAGCCAGCUAAUAUCAUUAGAGGCCUUUGACAAUAGAUAUACUGCAGGUUUGCCCACAAUCGGUUUGAUGUCUAGUGUGAACAUGUCUCCAUAUCUUUUGGAUUUGAGAAGUACUUCAUUUGUCUCUACUUUUGAAAUUAUACUUCCUUCUUCAUUGAACACAACCUGAUUUCCAGUACCCANGUUGCGAAAACUAAUAAAGUUAUGUUGAAGACCUUCGACAUAAGCAACCCGGUUAACUGUGAAUUGUCCAUUUGUGACUUUUCCAUACCCUUUCACUUGACACUUGUGAUUGUUUCCAAAUUUGACUACUCCAACAUUUUCCAAGCUUCUAUAAAUUCGCAAGUUUUCCAUUCUUCCAGUCAUGUGACGAGAACAACCACCAUCAAUAUACCAUUUCACAUCAUAUUACUCGUUACAUAUCACCUGCAUUUAAUGAAAGAAUUUAGGAAUCCAAGACUUAUUGGGUCCUUCAUUAGUAGCAUUGAACAAAUUCUUUGAAUUUAAAAACCACGUUUUCACUUUGUCUGUUACACUAUCGAUUAGAUCAACAUCAUCAGAUCUAGAUAUUGAAAUAUAGUUGUUUGAUAGUUUUGGAUUUCUAUUGACUUUCACCUCAUCCUUCACAACCUUCGCAACUUUCACAACUGGUUUCCACUUUUGUACUGGAACUUGCGAAUCAUGAGAUGAUGAACUACUAGUAGAAGACUCAUUCACAAACUUGUCAAAUGCAGUCUUUAUCUGUUGCUUUAAAAACUUUCCAUUUUGAUAUUGUUUUCCUUUCCCUUCAAGCCAAUUGUUGAUCGUGUAUACAUCAGAUUUUCCUUUUGUAUAUGAAACUUUAGUCGGUUUUGUGAUGGAAGGAUUUGGAAAAUUUGGUUGUUUGGGUGAGAAUUUUGGUUUUGUUUGAGUUUUGACAUUCAAAGUUGGUGAAUUAUUCGUUAAUUUUCUAACAUUUUGAAAUUUUACGAUCAUUCGAACAGAUUCAUCUUUACUUUUCAUUGAAAUUUUGUCAACAGAAUAUAUUGGUUUGUGAAAACUUGUAUCCUUUUGUUUGUUUGUUCUCUGAAAUGUUGAUGGUUUUGUUCUAAGAAUUUGUGCUUGCGCAACUUUAGGUUUAUCAUUAGACACAACUUGCCAAAAGAUUGCUUUUCUUGCUUUUCUUUUUGAAACAUUGUUUUCUUUUGAAUACUUUCCAACCAUCAACUUAAAUUCAUGAGAAUUCAAUUUCACUUCCAUCUUUAGUUUUUCAACUUUUUCAAAAACUUUGUUUUCUUUUUCACUUUUAACCAUCCAUUUUUGUGAUGAUUUAUUAAUUUGAAAAACAUAAUAGUUUUGAGUUAAAUUGUUUUCUACCGUAUUUUGAUUUGCAAAGAAAUCUUUGGUGGUUGACCUUUUGUUGUCAUUUUCAACCAUUUUUUUGAAUUCAGGCUUGAUUUUCUCAACAUUUCCAGUUGUGAAGAAGACUUGAUUUGGAAAAAUCGUGUUAUCAGUGCAUGUAAAAUUCGGAUAAACCACAGUGUUGGUUUCCAAAUAAUGUGCACCUUUGUCAUUAAGAACUUUGUCGAAUUCUUUUGUAUCACCAAACACUUGAUUAACAACAACACGUUGAGGUGAUUCAUGAGAAUCUUUCACUUUUUCUUCGUCUUUAUCAGUGUCAUCUGACUUACAGCUUUCAACUUCCACAGUGUCAAAGUGACAAGUUUGCGAAGUAGAGGGUUUAUCAUUUUCAUCGUUUACUAUCGAAUCAACUAUAAUUUUUUACCUUUGACCUUAGAUGUUAUACUAAUGAUAGACAGUUGAGAACAAUCAACCUCUUCUUCCUCUUCGAUCUCACUGAUUUCACUCACAUUAUCUGAAUUGUCAUCGACAUCAGCAUAAUUGUGUUGAGAAUCAAGAGUUGAAGUUUCAGUUUUCUAUAAGAUUUUCACUUUCAUUGUCAAACUUUCAUUAACAAUACUAACCAAUUCAUCCGCAUUCAAAAAUUCAUCAAUUUUGACAAUAUCAUAUGCGAAUCUAUCAUCAGGUAUUUUGUCAAAUUGAGCAAUAGUAUUUUCACAGUCAUAAGAAACAACAUCAACUUUUUCGCGUUCAUAUUCAAGAAAAGGUAGAAGUUUCCUAUGUUGUUCUUUGCUUAUCUCAGAUGAAUGAUGUAAAGCUGUUAACUUCGCAUAUAAACGUUUAGCAGAGUUACAAUAAAUGUUUCGUUGUGCUAGUAACAACCUAAAUUCUUUAUCAAUAUUGUCCCUAUCACAAUUCACAUUUGUCAUUUGUAAUUCAAGUUUAUCUACUCUGCUUCGUUUAAUCUCUAAUUGUCUUCUUGUCUCAGCUAGUUGCGAUUUUAGAUUUUGUGCUUCUAUACUAGCCGACACAAUAACAGAAUCAAAAUAAGCAACAGUAUCAUCAAAUGAAGUUAUUUAAGCAUCAUAAGCAGAUAAAGGAAUAUUAAAGGAUUCAAGAAUAGCACGUACCUUAGUGGUCAUUGGAGAUUUAUCAGUGGACUUGGACACAAAGCAUCGUCCAGAAACAUUCUCUUCGCAAUUUUCUUCAUAAAUUGCGAACAUUGCACCAUGAGUUGGGUGCCUCAUCUCUUCAUCAUCAGAUCCUGAAGACCAGAUCUGAUAAGUUCCACUUUCUUCUUCUUCAUACUCUCCUUUCGCAACCAAAGACAAUCAUUUCGCCUUCGCACGCACCUCCUCAAGCUUCUCUGAGUAGUAGGCUUCGUCUUUGAUUUUGCUCUUCUUCUCCUCUUUCUUCCUUAACAUGCAAUCAGCUGCGAAAUGAUUCGCUCCACUGCAGUAAUGACAAUCAAUUCCAGAGUCACCUUUUAGUUUCUUUUCUGGUUUCGCAUCUUUCUGCUUUUCUUCAACCUUCUCUAAUUUCUUCUUCUCCUCACCUCACCCUUUUAUGAAACCACUCUUCGCAUCAGUUUGCUUUCCUUUUGGAUUGAAAGGCUUUUUGAAAAAUUUCUUAACUCUGUUGUUUGAAUAAAAUGCAACUGCUUCAUCAUCAGAAUUCAUUAAGAAACCUUCAUUGUCUGAUCCUUCCUUUUCACCAGCAUCAAUUUCAGUAACCUUCGAAACUAAAGCCAAUGGACCUCCUAGACUCUGUUUCGAUUCUUCAAACAUUUCUGUAACUUCGCUUUCAUGUGUUUUCAGUUGGUUGUAGAGAUCAUUAAGGGUGGAAGUAUCAAAAAUUUGUUGGUUCUUUAUCAUCAUACUCACACUACGCCAUUCCUUGCGAAGGCCCAUGAUGAAUGUCAGAUUGAAUUCCAUGAGAGAUCUUGUGAUUCCAUACAUGUUGCAACGAUAAACAAGCUCAUUCAGACGAUCAUAGUAGUUUUCAAUUGUUUCAGCAUCCUUUUGUCUGAAUUCCUUAAGCUCAACAAGACAUUUCUUAACGGAAUUGAUCUUUGUCUUCUCGCUACCUUGAUACUUCUCUUUCAGUGUGAUCCAAAUCUCCUUGGUUGUUUUACAACUACGAAUGUAAUUGUAAAACAGAGGAGGCAAUGCACCUGUUAGCUCCCUCAUACACCUUUUCUCAUUUUUCUCCAGGCGAUUCUGUUGUUCAGCAACUUCAUUUGAAGAAGCAGACGGUCCAAUUGAUUGAACAUUUUCAGGAGGUAGAACUUUUCCACUGAUAUAAUUCCAGAGCUCUUCGUCAAUUCCAUUUAAGUAAUCCUCCAUCCUAUCAGCCCACUGAUCAUAGUACUCAGGGAUUAACAUUGGAAUUUGGGUUGAAGAACCAAGUAAUUGAGAGAAAGAAGUCAUGGUAUUCAUGUUGAAGUUCGCCAUUGAUGAACACGAGAAUUUUUCAGAAAAACUUGAAAAACUUGAUGAAUUUGUGAAUUGAUCAAAUGAAUUAAUCACUGAUUGCUAAUCGAUCACUCGACUAAACAAUUCAAAUGCAGAAUCGAUUCAAAUCUGAAGAUCAAGAGAGAUUUUCAGAACCAAAAUGCGCGGAAAUGUUUUGAGUAAAAUCACUACUCAAAAAGCAAAUGAUUCUAAAACGAAAAUCAGAUCAAUGCAGUUUGAAUCCUGCUCUGAUACCAAUUGAUGAGAAUUGUAAUCAAGAUUUAGAAAGCAAUCAUGAUUAUAUGAAUGAAAGUAAGAACACAAGGAGUAAAUAUUAAACAGAUCUUAUAUUGAUGAAGAAACUGAUUACAAACUUAAGAAGAGAAAAAUGCGAAUGACUAACAAAUCACUCGUUGAAUCAAUCUUCUCUCUACUUCUAACCUCAGUCCCUAUUUAUAGGAAACAUGAGUGUACAAAACAUAUACUAAGUCCUUAACAAUACGCUUCGCACAAAUGAAGACUUAGUAAAAUAACUAACAUGCGAAACAGACACUUCGACUUUUACAAUUUCUAGACUCUACAACAUUCCUAACCCUUGUGGUACGCCUCAGAGGUACAGACUCGUCAAUUGGCUCAACAGGAGUUUCCUCCUCAGGUUAAGUGCUAGGGUUUAAAGUUCCUUCACCACUUGAUUCUUGAAUUUCUUCAAGGUCAAUUUUCCUCCCACUGUUUCCUUGGCUUAUGAACUCUCUCUCUCUCUCUCUCUCUCUUUCUCUCUCUUUCUUUCUCUCUCUCUCUCUCUCUCUCUCAAGACACCCCUCCUUGCUACAAAGACCACAUUCUAACUAGGUCUGUAGAAGAGUUAACCAAAAGAUUUUUGUUAGUAGCCGAUGAAAAUACACCUCUCACUUUGAGGUUCGAGCUUAUCAUGAGUCUCGUGCCUCACAAAAGCCUCGCAACCCCAAAUCUUGAUGUGGUCUAGUUUGGGAACUUUACUAGUUCACAUCUCAUGAGGAGUUUUGGCGACUUUCUUUGUAGGGACCAGAUUAAGGAUAUGAGCGGCAGUCUCUAAGGCAUACCCCCAAAAUGAGAUUGGUAGCAAAGCUCAACUCAUCAUGGAAUGAACCAUAUCCAAAAAGGCUCAAUUACGCCUCUUAGCCACACCAUUCAAUUAUGGUGUCCUAGGAGGUGUCAGUUGUGAGAUAAUCCCACAUUCCUUAAGAUAGUCGAGGAACUCUGUACUAAGAUAUUCACCACCACGAUCGAAUCGAAGCAUCUUAAUGUUCCUGCCCAAUUGAUUCUCGACUUCCUGUUUAAACUCUUUAAACCUUUCAAAAGUCUCUGACUUAUGCUUGAUUAAAUAGACAUAUCCAUAUCUACUAUAAUCAUCAGUAAAAGUCAAAUAAUAACAAUUAGCAUCCUUUGUGGCAGAUUUGAAGGGUCCACACACAUCUGUGUGUACCAGAUCCAACAAACCUUCACCCCUAGCACAAGAGCCAGUGAAGGGUGACUUUGUCAUUUUUCCAAGUAAGCAUGAUUCACAACUAUCAUAUGACUUUAGUUCAAAUGACUCUAAGAUUCCAUCCUUUUGGAGCUGGCCUAUGCGUUUCUUGCUCACAUGUCCAAGACGACAAUGCCAAAAUGAUGCUUUAUCCAAGUUAUUAUUAUUAGAAGAAUCAAUACACAACAUAUUAUUUCCUAGGUUAUCUACAACAGACAAAACUUCAUACACACCAUCACAAGGUAGUGCUUUAAAAUAAAGAACAUUAUUAAAGAAAGCAUUUAUUGCACCAAUUUCAUUAUCAAAAGAAAAGGUAAACACUUGUUUGUUUAAAGCAUGAAAGGAAAUAAUAUUUCUUGCCAUUUCUGGCGAAUAACAACAUUUAUUCAAAUCUAAAGUAAACCCACUACUUAGCAACAAAGAAUAAACUCCAAUCUUGGUGACAGGUGAAGCUUUCCUAUUCCAUAUGAUCAAGUUUAUCUUUCCAUGAUCCAUAUUCCAUAGGGCGAGUUAUUAGAUAGAAUAGUGUAAAUACCUGCAUGGUUAGGUUUGACUUUCCCAUCCUUCACAUCUUGCUGGUACUUUGGGCAGUUCCGCUUCCAAUGCGACUUUUCAUGGAAAUAGAAUCAUUCAGCCACUUUUGGGUCAGAAGAAAGAGUGACGAAACCUUUCUUGGUUCCAGGACAGGGGCGAAGUUUGGAGUAGGAGUAGGAGUGGUAACAGCCGACUUACCUUUAAGACCUGUUUCUGCGGUCUUUAGGAGUCCUUGAAGUUUGCUGAAUGUGACUCCUUCCUUAUUCAUGUGGUAUGUCAUGAGGAAUUGAUCAUAACAUGAGGGUAAGGAGUGCAAAAUGAUAUCUAUUGCUAGCUCCUCAGGGAAGUUCACAUUAAGCUUCAGCAAACGAUCCACAUACCUUUGCAUUUUCUGUAUGUGGCUCAUGACGGAUUCUCCAUCCUUCAUCCCAUUUGUUAUCAUGAAGGAGAUUAUUUCGUACCGCUCUUGACAAGCACUCGGAUGGUAUCUUUCCAUCAUAUCUUGGUGCAUCUCAAAAGGGUAGUAGCCCUCAUAGGACUUCUGGAGUUCAGCUGUCAUGGUGGCCAUCAUGAUGCAUGCCACUUUAGUGGCAUCUCUUUCAUGAGUCCGGAAGUCGGCGAUCUUCUGGGGAGUAGCAAUGGACUCAUCGAUCUCCUUUAGCUCCUUAUCGAGGACAUAUUCCUUGUCCUCGUAGCGAGUCACCAUCCUGAUGUUUCAGAUCCAAUCCAUAAAGUUGGGACCAUCGAAGAUGACCCUCCCACAUAGGUUCAUGAGGGAAAAGGAGUCAGUAGGGUUUGAGCUAGAAGCAGUGUUGUUGGAAGACAUCUGAAAAGAGGAGAACAAGUUUAGUUUAGAUAUAAAGAUAGUCCUUAAUAAAACACCCAAAUGUAAUAUUAAGGCUAGGAUCCAAUCACAAUAUAUCAUAACUUAGAAGAGGGAUGCCGUAAUCUAAGCUAUAAUAUAUUUGAAAGGUAGGUGAAUGACAUUUCACCAAUUUCCACCAUGAAAAACGAAAUAUAAGUAUUAGGUUUUAAUUGGUUUUUUAGAAAUUCCUAGAUUCUUUUGAGAUUCAAUGAACUUUUCAAAGGCAUGUUUCAAUCUCGAGUGUGCCCUCCAAGUUUUAUGACUGGGAUACCGAGGAUCACAAAACGAGGUGUAAAGUAACCAUGCAAAUCACUUGGUACCCUUAAUGUUUAUCACUCAAUCGAUGUGCCGGUUAACCACACGUGCUCCACCGACCUAUAAUAAACCUUAAGUCACCCUUUACCCACCUUAUUAAGUCCAAGUUAGUGUGUCGGUUAACCACAUACGCUCCACUAACGACUUAAACAAAGUGCAAAGUGUAAUUUCAUGGAUUAGCACCAUAUUCACAUUUUCCUAAAGUAAAUAAGAUUGGGAACUUAAUAAAACAUUUAGUUAAUCUAUAAUGAUCAUUAUACUUUUAGUGAGAAUUUUAUAAGUCCUUGUCCUACCCGUUCGGCUAACGACCCUCCACCAAUCAAGGAAGCGGUGGGUGAAAGUGGACACCCAUUAAGUUGCCAUUUUAUAGGCAACAACUUUAUACCCCCCUUAUUGACUGGCUUCAUAAAUGAGGCCUACUAAUGGUAAGACGACUUGAUCUUAUACAUACAUACAUAUAUAUAUAUAUAUNAUAUAUAUAUAUAUAUAUAUAUAUAUAUAUAUAUAUAUAUAUAUAUAUAUUUUGUUAAAAAACAACAUUAUAAAGUAUAAGGGUUGAUUUUUAACUUUUAAAAAUCUAGGGUUAGAACUAAAGUUUAUUAGCUGACGUUACAGGUUCCAAAAGUACUUGAGGGAAAGUUUUGUAACUUUACAAAACCUUUCAAUUCAUAACUUAUGAGUUAUUAAAAUGAAGACUCUUCAUUUUUGUAAGUUGUGUGUUCUUUUAAUGGUUUUAAUACAAAGUGACUUUUAUCCAUAACUUGAUGACAAGUUAUGGACUCCAUUAAAACACAUAAUGUAACAUCCGGAAUUUCAGGUAUUACAUUUAUUCAUUUUGUUUCAAGUUUUGUGGAAGAACUCGGCGAGUUGGUGCGUAGAAUCGCCGAGUAGAGACGCGAAUCAUUAUCCGGAUGGAUGGCUGGACUCGGCGAGUCGCCCCGAGGACUCGGCGAGUCCACACUGUUUAAUGAAACCCUAAUUCCUCGGGUUUGGGUCCUAUUUAAGGGGCCUUAUGGCCGUCAUUUGCGGCUACCAGACCCCAGAGAGAAACCCUAAGUGACCUAGAGCGAUUGUGAGAGGAAAGGAGCCCUUUCUUGAUCACUUGUUGGUGUUUUUGCAAAUAGAAAAGGACCAAGGCAAGAGGAGGCUGAAGAGGGUGCUAAUCCAGUGAUUCCAGGGCUCAGAGACUUCAUUUUGAGGUAUUCAUUCGACCCUUCUUCAGUUUAUGGUGUAAUUCCUUGAGUUAGGGCUUUUUAGCCCCUUUUAGAGGAAGGUUAUUGAGUAAUUGGUCCCUUCUCGUCUUGGUGCUGUAGAUCUGGACCCAAAGAGGUCCAGAGACCCUUUUCCCUUGAGCAUUAUGAGUGUUAAUGGGGGUUAUGAGCUUUGGAUGUCAUUUUAGUGGUCAUAUCUUCAAAUAAGGCCUUUAAGCCUUUGCAUGAGCACCAAGAUGAUAGAUUUACGUGAUUAUCAUGUUUGGGGAGGCCAGAUCUAUGAUUGUAUGGGACGGAUCUGACCUCAGAAGUUGUUUUGAGAGUGUGCAUGGCAUGAACUCGCCGAGUCCCAAGAACAGACUCGGCGAGUAGUAUGAAGGUUGCCCAUUAAUCAUUCAGUGAGUGGACUGCCGAGUUGGGGGAUGACUCAGUGAGUCAGAAAGGGAUUAGAGGACUGAAGUUCAAGGCUGUACUUGCCGAGUUGUUCUUGAAACUCGGCGAGUUGAGUCGCGGUGGCACCAUGAUUCAUGCCUGAUGUAACUCGUCAAGUUUAGGGAGGGACUCGACAUGCCAAGCGUGACAAAGAGUUAAGAGUCAUGUGUGUACUCGCUGAGUCACCGGAGUGUACUCGGCGAGUUGGGUCAAAGUUUGACCGUUGACUUUUGUUGACUUUUAGGGUUUGGUCAACAAUGGAGCCAUUGAGUCGAGAGGGGGGUAAAACAGUCUUUUACCCUUCUGAGGGUGACAAUAGAGGAUCGAGUCUAGCCUCGAGUGUUAUAUUUAUGAGGAUAUUUACUUUGUGUGAAUAGGCGGAGGCUAGGCAAUACUUCUACCGAGUCAGGGAUUUACGAGAGUCUGAGGUGAGUCUUCUCACUAUACUUUACCUUGAGUAGGUAAUUAGAGUUAUGUGAUACCGUGUUGUAUGCUAUAUAUGUGUUAUGUGUUGCACUGCAUUAUUUUAUGUGAUUUAUGCUGUGCAUGCUACAGAGUUAGAACCGGAAGGUUCACAGAGAUAGAACCUGAGGGUUCACAGAGUUGGGUGCACGGACCCACAAAGUUAUAGUCUCGAGUGGCUAAUAUGUGUUAUAUAUGGUAUUUUGGGGAACUCACUAAGCUUCAUGCUUACAGUGUUUUGUGUUAUGUGUUUCAGGUACUAGUGAGGAUCGCGGGAAGGCGCCGGCCUGAUCAGUACACACACGGGAUUUUUAUGUUAUGAGAUCUUGGGAUUGAUAUAUGUUAUGAAUUGAGUUUUAAACAAUGAUGUUUUUAUGAGUAAUGAAUGAAUUAUGUUUUUAUAAAAUGCGAAAAAUUGUUUUGAAAUUUACGGUGUUACAAGUUGGUAUCAGAGCCUUGGUUUGAGGGAUUCGAGUACACCUUCGGGCGUAUUUGAACUCAAACUGAGGAUUUGAGAAAUAUUUUCAAAAGAGAACCAAGUUUUCUAAAAAGAGUAAAAGAUUUUUGGAAAACGCAGAGCAGAGUCGUGUGUACGAUCAGUCAGCGCCCGAACGGUGAUUUCCCAAAAUACCCUUAUGUUAUAUGCUUAUGAGAUUGAUAUGAUGUAUUCUCGUGCUAGAGUGGGCUAGGUAUUCCUAUUAGGACUAGAGUGGCCUGAUUUGUGAUGCCUUAGCCUAGGGGGAGGUGAGCUGCUAUGAGAUGCUUGAGAGUGAGUUGUUAGCAGUAAGAAGCUUAUGAGAGAUCUGUUAGAGAAAGGAUUUUGCAUAAUAGAGUACUUGGGACUUGGGAUCCUAGGAGGAGGACUUGGGGUGUAUGCUGACACGGUGUGGACGGUAGUAUUAGGCCCCUACUACUGAAAACACUGGGACGGUGUACAGUUCAAGUAAGGAUCUUCGGGAUGCCAGGGAUCAAUGAGGGAUGAGUUAUCGAGUGCGAGUAUGCUCGAGUGAGUUUCUAAUAUAUCGUAUGUUGUAUUUCAGAGGUAGAUCAUGGUGAGGACACAUCAUGCGCCAGAGAGCAAUGAGACCAGUGAUGAGGAGAUCCACCAGAUCAUCCAUGAGGAGGUGGCUGCGGCCAUCAGGGCAGUGAUACCAGAUAUGUUCGGGUCUAUCAAGACCACGCUGAUUGAGACUUUUGACGAGCGUUAUGCCGCUCUUUCUGAGGCUGCUGUUGCAGCGGCCACCGCAACCAUCGCUGCUGCUAGGCCGCAAGGGGGUGACUCAUUGUUGUUCAGGGAGUUCAGCAACACGAAGCCACCAGAGUUUGAUGGGACGCAGGAUCCGAUUGCAGCGAUGAGAUGGGUAUCUAACAUUGAGGGGUGUUUCUAUACAUGCUCGUGCCCGGAGCACUUGAGGGUUCGGUUUGCGCUGAACCAGCUUCGCCUGGGGGCGAAGGACUGGUGGAAGUUCACGACAGCACACUAUUCUCCAGCAGAGCUUGCUGCGGUGACCUGGGAGAGGUUCACCGCCAUGUUUCGUGAUGAGUACGUUCCCCUGGUGGAACGGGAUCGAUUGGCACAGGAGUUUUUGACCCUCAAGCAGGGUACGGAGUCUGUUACGGUUAUUACCAGGAUGUUUCAUGAGAGGGCGAUGUUCUGCCCUAAGCACGUGUCUACUGAGCAAGCACAUAUGAGCCGUUAUUUGAGUAUUUUGAGGAGAGAUAUUCGGGAGUUCGUGGCGAACUCCUCGUAUCGGACAUUUGCUGAGCUUCAGGCAAAUUCUCGGAAGAGGGAGAUCGAGCUAGAGACUCGGGCUAGGGAGGAGGCGGAGUCUCAGGGGAGGGAUCGGCGACCGGCACAGGCCCAGCCGGCAGCCCAGCGGGGCAAGCCCGCUGAUCCCAAANNNNNNNNNNNNNNNNNNNNNNNNNNNNNNNNNNNNNNNNNNNNNNNNNNNNNNNNNNNNNNNNNNNNNNNNNNNNNNNNNNNNNNNNNNNNNNNNNNNNNNNNNNNNNNNNNNNNNNNNNNNNNNNNNNNNNNNNNNNNNNNNNNNNNNNNNNNNNNNNNNNNNNNNNNNNNNNNNNNNNNNNNNNNNNNNNNNNNNNNNNNNNNNNNNNNNNNNNNNNNNNNNNNNNNNNNNNNNNNNNNNNNNNNNNNNNNNNNNNNNNNNNNNNNNNNNNNNNNNNNNNNNNNNNNNNNNNNNNNNNNNNNNNNNNNNNNNNNNNNNNNNNNNNNNNNNNNNNNNNNNNNNNNNNNNNNNNNNNNNNNNNNNNNNNNNNNNNNNNNNNNNNNNNNNNNNNNNNNNNNNNNNNNNNNNNNNNNNNNNNNNNNNNNNNNNNNNNNNNNNNNNNNNNNNNNNNNNNNNNNNNNNNNNNNNNNNNNNNNNNNNNNNNNNNNNNNNNNNNNNNNNNNNNNNNNNNNNNNNNNNNNNNNNNNNNNNNNNNNNNNNNNNNNNNNNNNNNNNNNNNNNNNNNNNNNNNNNNNNNNNNNNNNNNNNNNNNNNNNNNNNNNNNNNNNNNNNNNNNNNNNNNNNNNNNNNNNNNNNNNNNNNNNNNNNNNNNNNNNNNNNNNNNNNNNNNNNNNNNNNNNNNNNNNNNNNNNNNNNNNNNNNNNNNNNNNNNNNNNNNNNNNNNNNNNNNNNNNNNNNNNNNNNNNNNNNNNNNNNNNNNNNNNNNNNNNNNNNNNNNNNNNNNNNNNNNNNNNNNNNNNNNNNNNNNNNNNNNNNNNNNNNNNNNNNNNNNNNNNNNNNNNNNNNNNNNNNNNNNNNNNNNNNNNNNNNNNNNNNNNNNNNNNNNNNNNNNNNNNNNNNNNNNNGAGGAGUUACGGGUGUGCCUCCCAAGAGGUAGGUUGAGUUUCGCAUUGAUUUGAUUACGGGGGCAGCACCUAUUGCCAAGGCACCCUAUCGCCUUGCACCUCCAGAGAUGCAGGAGUUAUCCUCGCAGCUUCAGGAGCUGCUGGGGAAGGGGUUUAUUUGGCCAAGCAGUUCGCCGUGGGGAGCACCGAUCCUUUUUGUGAAGAAAAAGGAUGGUUCGCACCGAAUGUGCAUAGAUUAUCGAGAGCUGAACAAGUUAACGGUCAAGAACCGUUAUUCUUUGCCGAGGAUCGAUGAUUUGUUCGAUCAGCUGCAGAGAGCAUCUUGGUUUUUCAAGAUUGAUCUGAGAUCUGGAUAUCAUCAGAUGAGGGUGCGCAAGGAGGAUAUCCAGAAGACCGCGUUUAGGACUCGUUAUGGGCAUUACGAGUUCGUGGUGAUGCCAUUCGGGCUCACCAAUGCGCCCGCAGCGUUCAUGGCUCUCAUGAACAGGGUAUGCAGACCGAUGCUGGACCAAUCAGUGAUUGUGUUCAUUGAUGACAUUUUGGUGUAUUCGAGGUCCAGGGAGCAGCAUGAGGAGCAUUUGCGAGAAAUCCUUAGUGUGCUAAGAUCGGAGAGGCUUUAUGCCAAAUUCUCCAAGUGCGAUUUUUGGUUACGAGAGGUGCAAUUCCUUGGUCACCUCGUUAACCAAAAGGGGAUUUUGGUCGAUCCGGCCAAGAUCGAGGCGGUGUUGAGUUGGGAGGUGCCGAAAUCUCCUUCCGAGAUCAGGAGUUUUCUAGGGUUGGCCGGCUAUUAUUGGAGGUUCAUCAGGGAUUUCUCCAAGAUUGUUGUUCCUCUCACCAGGUUGACCCGGAAGGGUGUGGUGUUCAGCUGGGGCCCAGAGCAGCAGGCCUCAUUUGAGACUCUUCGCCAGAGAUUGUGCGAAGCCCCGGUGUUGGCUCUUCCAGAGGGAAUGGAGGACUUCGUGGUGUAUUGUGACGCAUCUAUAUCUGGGUUGGGCGCGGUGUUGAUGCAGAGGGGGUAUGUGAUUGCGUACACAUCAAGGUAGCUGAAGCCCCACGAGGCAAGGUAUCCCACCCACGAUCUAGAGUUGGGGGCUGUGGUGUUCGCCCUCAAGAUUUGGCACCAUUACCUGUAUGGGAUUCGUUGUACGAUACACACAUACCACAAGAGUUUGAAGUAUUUGAUGGAUCAGCCAAACCUGAACAUGCGUCAAAGAAGAUGGUUGGAUGUAGUAAAGGAUUAUGAUUGCGAGAUCCUGUACCACCCGGGCAAGGCUAAUGUGGUAACCGACGCCCUUAGUCGUAGGGCAGAGAGCGCCCCAAUUUGGGAUAUUUGUAUGAGAUUGACGGUGAUGACUCCGGUGUUGGACAUCUUCAGAGGGGCUCAGGUUGAGGCAGUAAGACCGGAGAACCGUAAGAGAGAGCGAGUUAUCGGUCAGGUGUCAGAGUUCGUGACCGAUAGCAGAGGGCUUAUGACCUUCCAGGGUCGGAUUUGGGUACCGUUUGUUGGAGGAACGCGUACCAUCUUGAUGGAGGAGGCGCAUAGAUCGAGAUUCUCGAUCCAUCCCGGGGCCACUAAGAUGUUUCUGGAUCUUAAAAGGGAGUAUUGGUGGCCCUGUAUGAAGAGAGAUGUAGCGUGGUUUGUUGAGAGGUGCCUAACCUGUCGUAGGGUUAAGGCCGAACAUCAGAGACCGCAUGGUAAGUUGCAACCACUGGAAGUCCCAGAGUGGAAAUGGGAGCAGAUAUCCAUGGAUUUUAUCACCAAAUUGCCGAGAACGGCGAGGGGUGUCGAUGCGAUUUGGGUGAUAGUAGACCGUUUGACAAAGAGCGCUCACUUUCUUGCCAUUAGUGAGAGCUCUUAUGCGGAGAAGUUAGCAGAGGUAUAUGUGAGAGAGGUGGUAUCGCGGCAUGGGGUGCCGAUCUCGAUUGUGUCCGAUCAAGAUGUGCGUUUCACUUCCAGAUUUUGGAAGAAAUUCCAUGAGGGGUUGGGUACGAGACUACAUUUUAGUACCGCAUACUACCCACAGACUGACGGUCAGUGCGAGCGGACGAUUUAGACGCUCGAGGACAUGCUCCGAGCAUGUGUGUUGGAUUUUGGCGGAAGUUGGGACACGUAUUUUCCCUUAGCGGAGUUCUCCUACAAUAACAGGCAUCAUUCGAGCAUUGGUAUGCCGCCUUUUGAGCUGUUGUAUGGAAGGAGAUGUCAGAAUCCCAUUUUUUGGGGAGAGGUAGGGAAACGAGUGAUGGGUAGUACGGAGAUUGUGCUUCAGACGACAGAGCAGAUACAACGGGCCAAGCAGAGAUUGUUGACCGCUCAGAGCCGCCAGAAGAGUUAUGCGGAUAGGCGACGAUCCGAGCUUGAGUUCCAGGUCGGUGAUUAUGCUCUCCUGAAGGUAUCUCCUUGGAAAGGAGUGAUUCGAUUCAGGAAGAGGGGCAAGCUAGGGCCCCGGUAUAUUGGGCCGUUCAGAGUGAUCGCGAGGGUGGGCAGGGUAGCAUAUCGCUUGGAGCUACCUGCGGAGUUGGAGCGGAUUCAUAAUACCUUCCACGUGUCUCAGUUGAGGAAGUGUAUAGCCGACGAGUCAGCGGUAGUGUCAUUANAGUGGUUCCAUUGGAGGAUAUUCAGGUGGAUGCGAGCCUGAAUUACGCGGAGAGACCAGUGGCGAUCAUGGAUCGGAAGAUCAAGGUUCUGAGGAACAAGGAGGUGCCUUUGGUGCAGGUUCAGUGGCAACAUCGGAGGGGAUCCGAGUUGACUUGGGAGCCGGAGCGAGAGAUGCGUGAGCAGCAUCCGGAGCUAUUUCAGGGAUGAGACUUCGAGGGCGAAGUCUGAUUCAAGUGGGGGAGAAUUCUAACAUCCGGAAUUUCAGGUAAUAUAUUUAUUCAUUUUGUUUUAAGUUUUGUGGAAGAACUCGGCGAGUUGGUGCGUACACUCGCCGAGUAGAGAUGCGAAUCACUAUCCGGAUGGAUGGCUGGACUCGGUGAGUCGCCUUGAGGACUCGGCGAGUCCAUGCUGUUUAAUGAAACCCUAAUUCCUCGGGUUUGGGGCCUAUUUAAGGGGCCUUAUGGCCGUCAUUUGCGGCUACCAGACCCCAGAGAGAAACCCUAAGUGACCUAGAGCGAUUGUGAGAGGAAAUGAGCCAUUUCUUGAUCACUUGUUGGUGUUUUUGCAAAUGGAAAAGGACCAAGGCAAGAGGAGGCUGAAGAGGGUGCUAAUCCAGUGAUUCCAGGGCUCAGAGACUUCAUUUUGAAGUUUCAUUCGACCCUUCUUCAGUUUAUGGUGUAAUUCCUUGAGUUAGGGCUUUUUAGCCCCUUUUAGAGGAAGGUUAUUGAGUAAUUGGUCGCUUCUUGUGUUGGUGCUAUAGAUAUGGACCCAAAGAGGUCCAGAGACCCUUUUCCCUUGAGCUUUAUGAGUGUUAAUGGGGGUUAUGAGCUUUGGAUGUCAUUUUAGUGGUCAUAUCUUCAAAUAAGGCCUUUAAGCCUUUGCAUGAGCACCAAGAUGUUAGCUUUACGUGAUUAUCAUGCUUGGGGAGGCCAGAUCUAUGAUUGUAUGGGACAGAUCUGACCUCAGAAGUUGUUUUGAGAGUGUGCAUGGCAUGAACUCGCCGAGUCCCAAGAACAGACUCGGCGAGUAGUAUGAAGGUUGCCCAUUAAUCAUUCAGUGAGUGGACUGCCGAGUUGGGGGAUGACUCAGUGAGUCAGAAAGGGAUUAGAGGACUGAAGUUCAAGGCUGUACUCGCCGAGUUGUUCUUUAAACUCGGCGAGUUAAGUCGCGGUGGCCCCGCGAUUAAUGCCUGAUGUAACUCGUCGAGUUUAGGGAGGGACUCGACGUGCCAAGCGUGACAAAGAGUUAAGUGUCAUGUGUGUACUCGCCGAGUCACCAGAGUGUACUCGGCGAGUUAGGUCAAAGUUUGACCGUUGACUUUUGUUGACUUUUAGGGUUUGGUCAACAAUGGAGCCAUUGAGUCGAGAGGGGGGGGGGGGUAAAAUAGUCUUUUACCCUUCUGCGGGUGACAAUAGAGGGUCGAGUCUAGCCUCGAGUGUUAUAUUUAUGAGGAUAUUUAAUUUAUGUGAAUAGGCGGAGGCUAGGCAAUACUUCUACCGAGUCAGGGAUUUAUGAGGGUCUGAGGUGAGUCUUCUCACUAUACUUUACCUUGAGUAGGUAAUUAGAGUUAUGUGAUACCGUGUAGUAUGUUAUAUAUAUGUUAUGCGUUGCACUGCAUUAUUCUAUGUGAUUUAUGCUGUGCAUGCUACAGAGUUAGAACCGGAAGGUUCACAGAGAUAGAACCUGAGGGUUCACAGAGUUGGAUGCACGGACCCACAGAGUUAUAGUCCCAAGUGGCUAAUAUGUGUUAUAUAUGGUAUUUUGGGGAAGUCACUAAGCUUCGUGCUAACAGUGUUUUGUGUUAUGUGUUUCAGGUACUAGUAAGGAUCGCGGGAAGGCGUCAGCCUGAUCAGUACACACAUGGGAUUUUUAUGCUAUGAGAUCUUGGGAUUGUUAUAUGCUAUGAAUUGAGUUUUAAACAAUGAUGUUUUUAUGAGUAAUAAAUGAAUUAUGUUUUUAUAAAAUGCGAAAAAUUGUUUUGAAAUUUACGGUGUUACACAUACAGAUCAUGAAUUAAGCAUUAAACAAGUAACUCCUAUGAUCUAUCAAGAACUCAUAAGAACAUGAAUAUUCAUAUCAAAAUUUCAAGAACACAUGAACACAUAUAAUCAUGUAAUUUUGAUAUUAGCCAUUGUAAAGGGAUUAGAACAACCAUUACACCAUCUAAAACAAGUUUCACAACACCAAAACAGUUUAGGGUAAUGUUUCUAGUCAAUUUCCAAUAGCAAAAAUCAAAAUUCUGCACUCUGCCUGGCCAACUCGUCGAGUGCAAGAACUAACUCGCCGAGUUGGUUGAAGUUUCACUUAGACUCGUCGAGUCUCCUGUGCAGACAACUUAAAAAUUCGAUUUUUACACUAUUUUGCAUCAAGUAUCGUCAAACAAGCCUAGGCUCUGAUACCACUAAUGGGUUAUGAGCAUUCUAACACCCCUAAGUGUACAUGCAACCCUAGAAAACCUUGGAUCUAUGUUUAUCUAAAAUACAUGCAAAAUAUGAUUUCCAAGGUUCAUAAUCCUAUCUAGCAUACAUGGGGAACUUUUAACAUAAAAGAUGGCUAGAAUUACAUACCUUGUAGUUGAUUUGAUUCCUUGAAAACCUUGAGAGCCUAACACCCCAAGUGUGAUGCCUCAAAUGUUUCACACAACACCAAGUGCUUUGGAAUAAUUUUGAGAGAAUGUAGAACACUUCAAAACCAGCCUAGCUCUCUUCUUUUCUUAGUGUAACCGAUUUUAGAUGAUAUCAUGUUCUUUAUAUAGUGUGUUACACUUAGGGUUACACCAUGUAAACCCUAAUGUAACAUGACUCUUCAUUUCCAUGACCCAUGGGUUUAAACCUCCAUGGAGCAUCCUAUGGUUCUUACCCUAACUUGUUAAUCCAUGGAGCCUUUAGCCCACUAUACAAGUUAUGGAUGAUUUACAUAAUCAACCCAUAUAUUUAAUUAAUCAUCUUUUGAUCACUUAAUUAAUUCUAAAUUAAUUAUUGAUCAAUACUAAUUAAAUGAUAUUAUUAAUAUUAGAACUUAUAAUAUAUUAAUAAACCAUAAGUGUUAUUUCUCUCAUUUUAGUUUAUCCAAAUGCAUGAUGCCAUGCAACCCAAAUGGACCAUGUCGGGUCAGGUCAAGUACAUACCAAAUAGAGUUAUGGACUUAGACAACUUAUCCAACAAGAUGAAGGUCUUGAGCAACAAGGAUAUACCUUUGGUAAUAGUUCAGUGGCAACAUUGGAGAAGCUCCGAGUGGACUUGGGAGCCAGAGGUUGAGAUGUAGGAGCAUUAUCCUGAGUUACUCGUCGCAGCCAACUUCGAGGAUGAAGUCUAGUUCAAGUGGGGGAUAACUGUAACAUCUUGCCUUGAGGUACUUUCUUUUUUACCCUUAUACUGCGAUUUAUUGCAUUUUGGUCCUUAAAAUGUAAGACUUUUGGAUGGAAGGGGCUAUUAUGGCCAUUUUUGGAAUUGUGGGCGGAGCCACGUAUUAUGGGUGUACAUUUGCGUAUGCUGGGCAUAUGGGGUGAAGUCGCAAACCCUAAUAUUUGGGGUUUGGACCCUAUUUAUUCAUCAUUAACUCUUAAACCUGGUUCCCUUCAUCAACCUCCAUCCUCUCAAAACGUAUUUACAACCCCUAAUCUACCUUGUGAGCAUUUUUAAGCUUGAGUGUGUGUGUGUGUGUGUGUGUGUGUGUGUGUCUGUUGUGCCUUUGAAGAAGAAGGAAGGAAGUAGAGACCAUCUUGGAGGAGUGAAGCACAUUAGAUCUAGAAUCACACCAUCAUUUGACAUCUCUUGGAGGUAUAAAAUUCUAAACUUGGUGAAGUUAUACAUAGAUCUUAUUUAAGGCUUGAUUUUAUGUUCUUUUGACCCCCUAAGCUUAGUAUUAUGAGUAGGGGUUACUCUAAUCCUUUUGAGAUGUUCUUUUAGAGCUUUUGGAGCCCCUUAGGCCUUGAGUCAUAAAAAUGUAAUCAUGGACACUAGUUUCUUCUGACACAUGGUCUUAAUGGAUUAAGAGGUUAGGAUCUUUGGUGUUGGGUAUUUAAUAGUCAUGCAAGACCAUAAAGUUGGAAACUUUAUGGUCAAAGACAUCAUUUGGGACUAGGAUCUAGAAAUUUGACUUAAAGGCUUAAGGAUUAAGCUCUUAAUGAGUUGGGUUAGCAGCCAGCUGUGUACGCGUACAAGGUUUACGGUGUACGUACAUGGUCUACAGGCCCAUGCCUGGUCAAUCAUUAAGUACGUUGGGUGUACUCAGUUGGGUUAACUCGGUUGUCUUUUGAGAAUUUUGACUUUUACCUGAUUUUGACCAAGUUUGACCUAGGGGUAUUUUGGGUAUUUUAGAUUAUGUUUAAGAAUUGGUGGUUUGGAUGGAUAGGUGAUUAUUAGAGUUGAGAUUCAAAGUCGAGACCUCAUUAGCUAUUGUUCGAACUGUGAGGUGAGUUUUACCUCAUUGUACUUUUGGGUCAAAGGUACCUAGGUCGGCCCAUUGGAUUGAUAUCCUAGUUUAUCGUGUGUUGCUAUGUUGUAGUCAUCUAUUAGAUCUGUAUCCUAGUUUAUUGGAGGUUGCUAUGUGGUAGUGAUUUUUAGAUCUUCCUAUUUGACUGUUGACUGAUUAUACAUUUAUUUAUUGUGUAUAUGUCGACAUAUUGUGUUGGGUUGAGGUUGUACUACUUUGUGUUGUAGCCAACAAACCCGAGAGCAUUCCAGAUAUGAGUUGAGGGCCGGUUGGCAUGCCAAACUCAUACUAAGGGCUUGGGAGCAUUCCAGAUAUGAGCCGAGGCCCCGAAUGACAUGUCAGACUCGUACCGAGGGCGCGAGGGUAUUCUAGUCCGAUGAUUGAGUGGACUCGUUGUAUGACAUUCCAGUCCGAUGACUGAUUGGCCCAUGGGUAAUCCAAAUGGAUGGCUGUGGACCUGGGGGUAUUCCAAUCUGAUGACUGAUUGGACCCAACAUGCUUGUUCAUUUAUGUUAUAUAGUUUAUGUGGUGGUACUUUGGGAGAAACUUACUAAGCGUUGACUUAUAAUUUUUUGUUAUGAUUUCAGGUACUUCUGAGGAUCGCGGGAAGGCGAAUGCGUGACCGUACACAUCCUGAUUUUAUGUUAUUGAUCUUGGGAAUCUCUGUUGUGAACAAUGUUUUUAAAACAAUGGUUUUGUAAACAUUUUUAUUAGUAAAUGAGUUGAUUUGAAAAGUUUAAACUGGUUGUGAUUUUUGAGAUAUUACAAUAUCCGACUUACUUUCCUAUAUUAUAAACUGACUAGGCACACUGCCUAUUAGUGCAUUAGUAGUUAAAUUACGUUAGGUUAUAAAUUUAAAACUGUUAGAUAUAAGUUGCACACUUGACGCAUUCUCUUUCGCAUUCUCUUUUCUCACGUGUUUGGUGCGGCUCCUUCAUGCGUACAAUAAAUAUGCAUGUGGUGUUUUUUUUUUAUCAACAAUACUAGUUUGGUGCAGCUCCCUAAUGAUUGCAUAUGUAUGUGCUGUUUUUAUUAACGGUAGUAAGAGUUUGGUGUGGCUGCCUAACGAGAAGUGUGAACAUCACAAAAAUUAUUCCGCCAAUUUUAGCUCUUUGGAAUCUCUCUAUUCAAAUUUUGUAAACACUGUGAAAUUAUAGUGGAAUGUUUCUCGGCUUCUUCCACCCGUGGUUUUUUCCGAUUUGGGUUUUUCCACGUAAAAAUCCUUGUGUCUCCUUUAUUUAUCAUUUUCAUUCGUAUCUUAUUGGUGGUUGAUUGCGUUUGAUAUUUUAAUUCCAUUCCACGUCAAACUAAUAUUAUUCUAAAUUACUCGGAUUCUUGGGACGUGUUUCACACACGUAUUACUACAUAUACAACAAGAAUUAAAUCACACGAGCAAAAUAACUAAUUCUUAAAUAAACGUCAACUACAUACAUGAGACUUGGAAUACAUGGUCUGUACAGGUCAAAUACUGUGUAACAUAUAAAAAAUAUAUUAUGUUGUUAAAAUAUAACGAUUUUUUCUUAAUUUUUUAUAAACAUUAGACAAAAAAUAAAGAUUAUGUAACAAUAACUAUGCAAUUUGGCAAGGUAUACUGUAAAUUGCAUAUAAGUUAUAAACAAUGUAAAAUGUGCCCAAAAUAACGUGUUUUGGUCCCAUUCCAGAAUAUAAAGCUAUAGACAUCUGGCAAUGUGUCCUCGUGAAAUUGACCACAAUGGACUCGAUGUGAUUCCCAUGCUUAAGGCAAAAAAACUAAAGUGCAUGUUAAGGCUUUUAUAAAGGGAGUUUUUUUUUACAUAAAGACAGUGGUUAGAAAAAGUAUUUACAACAUUGAUGUAGUUGUGUAUUUAUUUACCAUAACAUGGUAGUUUAAAUAAAUAUAGCUUUUGAAUUAAUUCUUUUACGUUUUUUUUUUCUAAAAAUCGGCAAAAACCAUUUGUCCCGAUAGAUAUCAUUUCUUCAUUAAUUACUUUUACUAACUAACUAGUGCCAAAAGUUUUUUUUUUUUUUUUCUUCGCUCAAAGUCACUAUGGAGGCCACUUUCAAAUGAAUUUGGGUUUCUUCACUCCCAUUCCAUCUUCAUUUUUGUGGCAUAAGAUAUGAGAAACAGGAGAUAUCGAUUCGAUCUACAUCACAUAACAGAAGCAGAUGACGUCGAUUCCAUUAACUAAUUGUUCAAUCUUCAUUUCCGACUAUAAUUGUUACACAAUGGAGAGCAUAUAAGGUUGUGAUUGAAACAAUCAACCUUGUGGCGGAAAACUAAGGGAGAAGCAUAGGAAAAAAGUAAAAAAGAGGAAGUAGAUCAAAGCAAACACUAGAACAGAAAACGUCAUUCAAUUUCCCUGGCGCUCCCUCUAGUCGGUUUAAAGAAGAAAAUGGAUGAUGAAUUGGGAUUACUACAUCGAUUGCUACUCCAGUUAGAGAUCUUAAUUUUGACGAAAGCAAAAACCCUCAUCUCAUAUCUAUCCUUCUUCAUGAACCACCAAUGUUGAAGAAGAAACUUAUUUGGAUGUGGAAAUUCAUAGGUUUGAAGUUUUUACAGUGUUUCAAGAUAGUGUUUGGAAUUCAUGCUUUGGUCGUGAGAUUUCUUGGAAUGGUCACAAGAGGUUGAUGGACUAGGUUGCGUACCGGAAAAUAUCAAAAAGAGAGGUGGAAACCAUAAGCCGGUGGUCGAGUAGGAAAGAAAGGGGGUUGAGAUAUAAUUUGUUAUUUUAUUUAGAGGGUGUUUGGAUUAACUUCUGGCCAUUGUAAAAGGAUUUUUUAUAAAAAAUAUUUUUUAAAAUGUAUUUGGAUUAGUUUUUUAAAAGGAAAAAGUUAAAAGUUAAAAGUUAAAAUGUUUUGUUUAAUUUUUAUAUGUAAAAUAACUAAAAAGGACAUGUUUACAUUGGGUUCAUUAAUUUAUCAAAAUUCUAAUCAAAACAAAAUAAAUAGAAUAUCACAGCAUAUCAUCAAGUUCACAGAACUGUUAAAUUCAUAUUUCAUCAAGUUCAUAGAUUGUUAAAUUCAUAUUUCAUCAAGUUCAUAGAUUGUUAAUUCACAGCAUAUCAUCAGCUUCAUAUUAAUUUCACAGCAUAUCGCAGAAUUGUUUUUUUUUCAAAUGAAUUAAUUUCAGAAAUCGGGAGGAACAUCACUAUUAGAGAUGCUAGAAAAUCAGAAAUAGACAGGAAUAUCAAUUCAAUCUGGAAAUAUUUCAUCAAUUUCACAGCAUAUCAAUUUCAUAAAAUCGGGCUUCAUAUUUCAUCAAUUUCAGUAAAUCAGGAUAUAUUUCAUCAAUUUCAGAAAUAAGGAAAUAUUUCAUCAAUUUCACAGCAUAUCAUUGCUACUGAAAAUCGAAAAUAGACAGGAGGUUGGAAAUCGACUGAAAAAAAAAACUGAUCAGAGAUGGAGAAAGGUCGGUGUUGAAGGUCGUCGGUGUCUCCGGUGCUGCUGCAGGUCGCCGGUGUUGCAUGUCGCCGGUGUCGUCGGUUGAUGUUACUGGAGAUGCCAUGCGAGAGAAGAGGGUGAGCGGAGUGAACGAGAAUGAGGGAAUCAAUAAUAUGUGAAUGAAUGGUAGAUGGGGUAUAAUGGAAAUUCAAUAUUUUUAGCUGGUGAAAAGUUAUGAAAAGUCAGUUAACCGUGACUUUUCAAAAAGACUCAAAUUACUCUAUACGAAAAGUUAUUUUCAAAAGUCAUUUUCCCUUCACCAAACAUCUUUUUGAUUUUUUCCAAAAGAUAAAGUUAAAAGUCAUUUUAAAAGUUUAGUCAAACACCCUUUUAGUUUGAAUAAAUUAAAUGGGGUCUACAGUAGAAAACCAGUUAUGUUUAAGUAAAUACUUUUAAGAGUACGAUACAUUGAUAAAUAAUUUUCUAAAACACUAGUCUCAUGUACAAAACUCCUUAUAAAGGUAAUAAACUAUAUCAUAAAAGAAUAAUUAGUUAAGUAUGGUUUUUUAUUUACACGUAUAAUAAUUUUAGUUUUUUUAGGGCAGUAUAUGAACCGAAUGAAAAUGAAUGAAGCUUGUUCAUGUUCGUUUAUUUAAGUAAGUUGAACAAACAAACACGAACAGAUAAACGAACGAGUUUUUUUGUUAUGUUUGUUCCUUUAACAAUUUACAUUGUUUAUAUUCAUUUGUUGUAUUCGUGAACAUGCUAAACAAACAUAAAUGAACAUAGAUAAACAUAUAUAAUUGAACAUAUAUGAAAAUAAAUGAACUUAUAAUAUAGUAAUGUAAUCAAACACAAUUGAAUACAUAUGAAUAAAAAGGGAACAUAAAUGAACAUAAAUGACGUAAACGAACAACAUAAAUGAACGUUCACGAACAUAAAUUAACGAAUAAGAUCAUUGUUCAUGUUCCUUCGUUCAAAUAAACGAACUAAAAUUUGUAUUCAUGUUCGUUUGUUUAUUACAUAAUAGAACAUAAACGAACUUCAUGUUGAACUUCACAAAAAAUUCGUUAAACGUUCGGUUCGUUUAGAACCUUACAUGUACACAAUAUAAAUUUCAUUACCUUUAUAAUUCAUUAAACCAAAAGAAAAUUAUGAGACCUCAUUAUUUCUAUUUAUAUUUUGCAGCAGAAACACGUUCUCAACUCAAAUGUCAACUCGUAAUGGCCUACGAGGAAAAUAUAUACGUUUAAGUUUUUCUUAUACAAACGUGUAUAUAUGACUUGUUUCUUUAAUCCGUUUGUAUAUUCAAAGAUUUAAAGCAUUUUCUAAAGGAUACACAUUUUGUAUCUUCAAGACACCCUGGAAGAUGCCAAAAACACGUGGUUUUGACAUAAACUUUCUAUAAAUGUUUUGCAUGAUGCAUUAUAAAAUGCAUGAUUACUAUAAAAAUCAAUAUUUUUUUGGCUGAUGUUCAAUAUAAAACUUCCCAAAAAUUAUCAUUUGUCAUUUUCUACUUUUCAAUUGUUAGUAGCACUUGGCAAAGUGCAAUUUGAUACGAGCGUUGGGUGAAACCAUCUGUAAAAACCUAGCUUCGACUGUAAUUUCAUCUCUCGGUGUAUAUAUAAAUACACGGCAUCAUCAGUCUGCUUUACUCAAGCUUCAAAAGCUAACCUCAAGUCAAAAGCACACUCUCACACACUCUCUAUUUCUAAAACUCUACGAAAUGGACACCAAAGUUGCUUCGGUCGACCACGUUGCAUUGCCAAAUGGCGACGUCGGCUGUCUACCACCACACGGUGGCGUUUCCUCCAUCCAGUCAUCCACCGUUCCUUUCAACUUCUCCGAGGCCACUCUCGGCCGACACCUGGCUCGCAGGCUAGUUCAGAUCGGUGUCUCUGAUGUCUUCUCUGUUCCCG